rnacentral:lncRNA from 1 species
GACGGCCGUCUUUGAGUUGGCCGCCUUCGAAGCUGUCCCCUUGGAUUCCGCGAACAAACGAGACGGCGUAUUUGCUUGUCAUAAAAGGGUCUUCGCCAGGUGUCUCUUGCCCCCUUCCCCACCUCGGAUCUCGGAAAAUAUUUACGUUCGGCGACCAAAAUGUCAUGCCUUGUGCCUCCCCUUCAUUGUAUAUAGCUCUAGCUUCUGUUCCUAUUGCCUUUCAGUUAAUGCAUAGUACUCAAAUUGUAUUAGAUACUAACAAAAGCAUUCUAAAGCUGCAUGAUCAAUACUAGUGAAGAUUCAGCUGCAAAUUGACAUCUUGAUUUAGGGAAAAUUACGAAAACCCCCCUAAACUUAGGCUAAAUUAUGAAAAAUACCCCCACCUAUCCAUAAUUAUCAAAAUCCCCCUGAUGUUUGUUUUUGUCUUACACCGACCCCCUUAUGGAACGAUUUUUCACGAAAUCAUUUUGAGUCAAGGGAAUAUUUCUCGAAGAAUGUCGAUUCUACCCAUGUUGACGUGGCAUUUCAUUAUGCUACUUUUUAAAGACGAAAAUUACCUUUAAGGGGGCUUUUAUACGGAAUUUUUAGUCUUCUUAAAUAACACAUUCACAUCGUUUUGAGUAUAUUACCAUUACAUCUCUAGGUUAACUUUUUAUUUUAAAAAGUAACAUAAACAUGUUCAGUCUCCAAGUGUAGAAUUAGCAUUUUUCGCGAAAUAUUCCGUAGUAUAAAACAAAUUUCGUGAAAAACCAUACUGUAAAGGGGUCGGUGUAAGACAAAAACAAACGUGACGGCGAGUUUGGUAAUUACGGAUAGAGUGUGGUGUUUUUCAUAAUUUAGCCUAAGUUUAGAGGAUUUUCAUAAUUUAUCGAAUAUUUUAAUUGUCUUUGAUCUUUUAUGUAUUAUCCUCUUUAAUAAUAUGGUCUGCUGCAGCUAGUGGUGCUGUGUUUUAUAAGGUAAGAUGUUAAAAGGAGCUUAUAAGAAAUUUAAGAGCUUAUAAGCUUUUUCAAAGUGCUCGCUAAUUUUUUUUUUAAAUAUCAUAACUUUUUUUUUAAAAUAAGCUGUUGGAGAGCAAAUAAAUUUUUUUUUUAAAAAGUACAUCUACCCCACCUUUUUAUUUAAGAUCUUAUAAUGAGUAAAAAUAGCUUAUAAGAUCAUUAUCCAAACAGUUUAAAAAUUAAUUCUAAAAACAAGAUGAAACAGCUUAUCAGCUCUUAAAAUAUCUUAUCGAACGUAAGAGCUUAUAAGUUAUUUAGAAUAAGUUUAGCCAAAUGGGCCCUAAAUAAUAAAUCGCCAACACAUGGUGAUUAAAAUAUUCAAAAAAAAAUUGAAAAUAAAGAAUCAAGAUUGUGACAUAUUACAAUUGAGCCCACCACGUUCUACUCUAAGGUCAUAAUUUUUGCUACGGAUAAAAUACUAACCUUGGCAAUUCGAUACCAAAGUUUCUCAUCGAAUGUAGCUGCAGUAAGUAUAACUUGUGGAAAACUAGUUGCCGCCUGGAUACUCCCGCCGAACGUGAUGCCGGAGGCCGCUACCAUGGACCCUGCAACUCCAUGCAGUGCCUCCGACCACCACUGGUAGUCGGGGAUUCCUAGCCGUGGGAUGGCCGGUGCGGUGUUGACCAGCUGCGAGAUUUUCUCGUCCAACGAGAGUCGGGAAACCAAGUCGUAGGCCCGCUCGUGUAACGGCAAAUCGACGUUGCAGAAUGGGAAUGACUUUGUGGAUGGAUUUUCGGAGUCGCAAGAGAAUGGUGGGAGCGGUUGUUUGGAAUUAUCGGCUUCGAUAUUCGCAAGCAUGAUAGAGCAUAUGAAUAUUGCAUAAGCUAUGAGAGACAUUGUACGGAUCAUGCAGAUCAAACUAUGUCUAAUUUUUUUUCUAUUUAUUGGGGAGAAAUGAAGCACAACACAAUAAAAGUCAACUAGGUUUCUCUUUUGAAAUAAAUUAUCAAGACUUUCAUUAGAGAACAUCUAUAUAUAUGGGUUUCUCGUUUGGUGGUUGGGAUAUAUAUAUAUGUAUAUAUAUAUAUAUAUAUAUAUAUAUAUAUGGGGUGAUUACAAAUAAGUCUAUCAAUGGGUACUUAUUCAUAAAGAAAUCGAGACAAAAAACUCUUUUACAAAUAAGUCCACACAUGAUCCAUAUUUUUGUAGAAGACUAAAAUAGCCCCCUCAUACUUUAAUAUGCUCUAAUUUCAUCAUUAAUUUAAUUUAACCUCAAUUUGACCCCAAAUUUCAUAUAUUAUUCAAUUUUGACCCCCAAAACUUUUUUUUUUGCCGCCGGAUUCCGGCGUUACCGGCGUAGCAUUUUUUUCGUUUAAACAACAAUAUUGCUGUGAUUGAUAGUAAUAUUAACUAUAUUACUGUUAAACAUAGUAAAAUUAACUAAACUACAGUUUAACACAGCAAUAUUGCUAUAUUAAUCUCUAGCACAGUAAUAUUAACACAACAAAACUUAUUAUUAUUGUGUAAUAGAGUAAUAUUACUAUGUUGACCGUUCAAAAAAUGUAAACAUAAUAAAAAUCCAAAAGAAUUAAUAUUACUGUGAGUGACAGUAAUAUUACUAUAACAAUAGUAAUAUUAUCAUCAACCACAGUAAUAUUACAAUAAUAGACAAUAGUAUUAUUACGUUACUCCGUGAAUAACUCAAACAAACAAAAUAAAUCCAAACAAAAUAAUAAUAUUGAUGUGGUUGACAACAAUAUUACUAUAACAACAGUAAUAUUACCAUCAACCACAAUAAUAUUAUUGUGUUUACAGUAAUAUUACAAUAAUAGACAGUGAUAUUAUUACGUUACUCCGUGAAUAACUCAAACAAAACAAAAAACCCAAAACAAUAAUAAUAUUGAUGUUGUUGACAGUAAUAUUAUUGUGUUUACAGUUAUUUUACUGUCAACAACAGUAAUAUAAUUACAUUGACUUGUCAACAAAUCAAACAAAAUAAAAAAAAAAUAACAAAAAAAAAAUAAUAAUAAUACGUUAAUUUACUGUCAACGGCAUAACAAUUACAUAAAUGUAUUGUCAACGGCGGUACAAUUACGUUAAUUAACUGUCAUUCACAGUAUAAUUACGUUAAUUUACUGUUUUACGGUCGACGUUAAGCGGCGGACGUAAAAAAAAAAAAAAAAAAAAACACUAGAAAAAAUCAAUGCCGGAAAAAAAAAAAGAAAAAAAAAAUGUCAACGCCGGAAACCGGCGAAAAAAUCCGGAAGAAACAAAAACAAUCGAAAAGUCAACACCAGAAUCCGACAGCAAAAAAAAGUUUUGAAAAAAAAAGAAGUCAAAAUUAGAUUUUUGUGGUCAAAAAUGGAUUUUUGUGGACAAAAUUGAUUAAAUUGGGGUUACAAUUAAGAAUUGAGUAUAUAGUAGGGUUGGAGGUAAUAUUGUCAUAUACAUGAAUGUUUUCUUUAUUUAUAAUAAAUAUUAAAGGGAUGUGUUUAUUGGUGAAAGAGAUAUAGCCUCUAGACUUAGAAUAAUAAAGAUGUUUGGUUGGGGACUUAUGCACAACACACACACACACAUACUUAUGGGGAAAAAUACAGUUUUCAUCCCUCAAGUUUGCACUGAUUUCACAAUUGGUCUCCUAUGAUAAAAAAAAUACAUUUGGUCCCUCAUAUUUUAAAAAUUCAACGCUUUUAGUCAUUUCCGUUAAAAAUAACGGAAUCAAACGUGUGUCCUCACUACCGUAGCUGACAGAGUAACGGUAAAUUGACGAAAAUGACAAAAUAAGUCAAAUUAUUAAAACAUGAGGACCAAAAUGUCUUUUUUUUUUUUAACAUAGAAGACCAAAUGUGCAAUUGUUGCAAAUUUAAUGGGUACACUACAACCACCCCUAAUGUAUGGUCAAAUUACGAAAACUCCCUCCUGUUUGGGUAAUUACAACCACCCCUCAACUAUAAAUCUUCUUACACGUCCAGCCUUGCGGUUUCAAAUUUAGUGGAAUCUUCGAGAUUAUAUGGAAUGUUAUCACUUUUGUACCCGUUUUAUCCCAUUCGAACAACACAUUCUAAAACAAGAUGAUCAUAAUAUGUGUCUUUUGGCUUGUAUAUACCAGAUUGUGGUGCAUCAGAAACUGUAUUUUUACACACAAUGAGUACAAACUAGAGCAAAUUCCACGAAAUCUAGAUGAUUAUGUUGAAUUUGACACCAUAAGGGUGGAGGUGUAAGAAAAAAUCAUAGUUGAGGAGUAGAUGCAAUUAUCCAAACAAGAGGGAGUUUUUCGUAAAUUGAUCAUACCUCAGGGGUGGUUGUAAGUUACCCUUGCUUUUUUAAUUAAGACAAGUUUUACUUUCGCGGUCAAUUUUAUUACUGUAGCAAUCAAAUUAUGUCCGGCAAAAAGAUAAACUUAUGAAGUUCUUUUAGCAAUUCUUUUAUGAAAUCUUAACGAAAACGAAUUCAUUUUAGGGAAAGAAUAAAAGUGAAAAGAAAACUGAACCAAACAUUAUCUUAUUCUUAUAUAUGUUUUGCCAAUGCAGAGUGGAUUAUUAUAAUAAUGUUACCUGGUUUUAUUACUAAUGCAUAUCUUUUCUGGAGGAGUCCAGUCAGCAAAAUUACACAAAGAGAAAUAUUAGCUGGCAUUUCUAAUAAAACGGAAAACUCAGAUGUCAAAUCAAGACAAGCGAACACGUUUUAAUUAACAUGCUUUGUUCCCACUCUGAUGAGGAUCAGUGGGACCACAUACUUAAUUGUUGUUAUAUUAAUUAUUAUUAGUUAAAUAAUAUAUUUGACACGUUUUUUAAUUAACGUCAUAUUCAUUAUUAAUUAUAAUUGAAACUUAAUUGUUGUUAUAUUAAUUAUUUAUUAGUCAAAUAAUAAAUAUUUUUAAGGAGAAUAUACAUAUAGUGGUUGAAAUUGAAAUAAAACUUAUAAAAUUAAAACGAUAAAAUAUAAUAAUUGUGUAAAAUAUAAACAUUGCUGGUUGGAGUGAACUGCUAAAAUUGGUGUUUUAAGACACUAUUCACUUUUUGUUAUAGAUAUAAAUGACUAUUUAUAAACGAUCGAUUAGAGAUGGUCUAACAUGGAAUGCGAGCUAGGUGUCGGUCACGGCACGCGAACUCGUGAUCGUCGAUAGCUAUGGAAAGACGAGGUUUAAUGCCUUGGAGAAAAAAAUGCUUGAAUUAGGUCCGGGUUGAUCCAGCAAAAUCUCUAUAGUGCUCAGUUAACUCUACAUCGAGUGGACUCAUUGACCCGGUCCCACCAACCAUAUAGUUUUACAGUUGUAGACAGUGGCGAAGCCAGAAUUUUAUUAUGAGGUGGACGGGGCGAAUUAAAAUAUAACAUAAAAAAUUAAUGACAAUGAUGAUUGUUUAAGGAGUGGAGAAUGUAAAAUUUUGUUACAUGGUGUUUUUAAUUUUCAUUUUUGUUGAUAAAACCAGAAGAUAGGAAAAGUAAAAAAAUAACAUAAAAACUUGAAGGACUUUUUUUGAAUUACUUUGAAUUUUGGGUGGACUAAAAUAAAUAUAAAGGUAUAAUAAAGUAUAAUAUUUUUCAAUUGAGAGUGGUGUUGCAAGCCCCCGGUUCUGAGCCAUAAUUCGUAACUUUCUUAUCCAACUUGUUACACUGAUUAUUAUUUUUCUUUAUUUUUUUCAGUUACAAGUAAUUAAUUUUAUUUAUUAAAAAAACUAAAUUAUUAAAAAUUGUACGGUCACAAUACAAAACAAUAAAUUAUAUAUACAUAUCUAUUGGGAAAAUUACAUUUUUCAUCCCUCAAGUAUGCAUCAAUCUCACGUUUGGUCACCCAUGUUCAUAAAAAACACAAACGGUCCCUUAUGUUUCAAUAAUUAAACACUUUUGGUGAUUUCCGCCAAUUUACGGUUACUUCUUCUGUUAAGGUAGUCAUUGGCACACGCUUUAUUUCGUUAAUACGAACGGAAAAUUAAUAGAAAUGACUAAAAAUAUUGAUUUUUUAAACACGAGGGACCAAAUAUUUUUUUUAAUGAAUAUAGAGGAUUACAUAUGAAAAUCGCUAUAUUAGUAAAGAAAAUUAAAAAUUGAUGUCGGCCCCUGCCCCUACACUGGCUUCCCGAAUGGUUGUAGAGCCAUUAUAUUUUAUGAAUGAAAUGAAAUAAUCUCUCUCUUAUUUAAAUAGCGUCCACGUUGAUAACAUGUACAAGAAACUAAAACAAGAAAGUUAUUAUCAAACGCAAUUUGAUUGUAUGUUGGACCAAAAUGCAGCAGCAGUGGAUAAGAUGCGCCAUGCUUUUAUAUAUAUAUAUAUAUAUAUAUAUAUAUAUAUAUAUAUAUAUAUAUAUAUAUAUAUAUAUAUAUAGUAGGUAAAGUGUGUGAUCACGGAUUGCUGCUUGCUUGAAUUUUUGAAUCACCAACUAACUUCUCUACAUUAAAUUACAUUGCACCUAACUUUAUCAAAGAAUCGUUUAAUUUGUGGUCGUCAAAUUGGUGUAACGAUCGGGCCCGGGUGAUCAAUGACCAAGAAUCGUCUGUGGGUCAUCAAAUUGGUGUAUAUAUCGGGCCCGGGUGAUCAAUGAGACGACGAUGACCCAGCCAAGUUACCCGAAUGGUUAAUCAAACAUGGGGUAUAGCUACGGAUAAUUAUAGUUUCGGUCCCUAUACUAUACACCAUUUCUUUAUUUUGGUCCUUAAACUUUUUCUGUCACGAAAUUCGUCCUUAAAUAAUCAGUUUUUUUUACAAUUUUCGUCCACCGUUUGAUAUUGCUGUUACUUUGGACGGAAAAGUCACGUGGGAGGCACGUGACAAUGCACAUUAACCCCUUCUUUUUUAUCUAUAUUGUUAAUUUAACACCAAUAUCAUUUUAUUCUUACACUUUCAUCCAAAUAAAAAUAAAUUCGAGAAAUGUACAAAAAGUGUGAAAUGACAAAAAUACCAUAGGAGGGUUUUAGGAAUUAGUUCAUUAUAUUUUAUUCACAAAUAUUAUUUAUUUCUUUAUUUUAAUUUUUUAAUCGAAAACAAUAUAACUAAAUUGAUUAUACCAAAUUUUAUUAAAGAGUUUUUUUUAUAAAUAUAAUUUAUUUCAUUAUUUGUAAUUAUUAAUAUGUAAAAAAUAAUUAAACAUAUAUUGUAAUUUCAUAAUAUUGUUUUGAGUCGUUUAUACAAUAAAAUCAAUUUUACCCAACCUUAAAAAAUUUAUUGUAGUUUUAUUAUUCUUUAAUAAAUUUGUAGUUCAAUUUUAAAUAAAAAUGCAAACAAAAAAAAAUCAAUUAAUUUAAUUAAAAAAAAAAAAGUGACACACAUAUACAGUUGAUGGCUCGGCGCCGGAGGUAAAAAUGACAGAUGGGGCGGGGCUGGGGCAUUCAGAACAAUUUUUGGGGAUUUGAUUAUUUUUUUGGACGAAUUUAUAACAAUAAAGUUAAACUGUGGCCAAAUAAAAAAUACAGGUAAGGAUAGAAGUGCGUGAUCACAUGCCUCGCAAGUGACUUUUCCUCCCAAACUAACAACAAUUUCAAACGGUGCACGAAAUUUGUAAAAAAAAAAAAAACUAGUUAUUUGAGGACCAAUUUCGUGCCAAAAAAAGUUUAAGGACCAAAAUCGAAAAAGACGUAUAAUAUAGCGGCCAAAACUGUAAUUAUCACAGUUUAGCUAAUUUUGUUUUCUUUUCUCGAGCAUGACUACUGAUGAAUGUAAAGACUCAAUUCAAAUAUAAUCGAGCCGAGCCGUCAUGCUUCAGAUGGGCCCGACUUAAUCGCCGAUCCUGUGUCUAUGAAUGUAAAGAAAAUAGUUGCGGGUAUUACAAGUACAGACACGUGUUUGGCUAUCUGACUAGACGAUCGCGAUAGCUAGCUGACACGUGUUUGCGGACAUUGUCGAUUGAUUUCGAAGGGGAAGGGAAUAUCACCAUAGGUCGCAACAUUAUACUAUUGGCACACCAAAACUAAACCCACGAAUUGUGGAGAUUAGAUGAAGUCUUUGCUUUAAGAUAUUAGUGAAUUGCUUUAUCUAUUUUGCACGUUUCUUUUACAUGUUUACAAAUUACAAUACGUAUUUAAGUUGAGUAAACUGCAAAAAACACCUCUGUGUAAUCUCUAAAUAGCGAAAACCCCCCUAUGAUAAAUAAACUAGCAAAAACCCCCCCUUAUGAAAUUAUUUAAAUAGCACACUCGGCCCAUUACUCAUUUGAGGGUUGACUUCAUAUAAAAAGACCCAAAUACCCCCGGGAUUUUGCAAUUAAUAAAUUCUUAUAUUUUUUAAAUAUUUUAAUUAUUUUAUUUUUGUUAUAUCUUAAUUAUAAAGGUACAAUGGGGUCUUUAGUUUAUUUCUAUUUUUAUUAUCACAUAAUUUUGGUACAUAUUUUAAAUUAUCCCUACAUCAAAAGAAAACUUAAAUUUCAUUAUUAUGUAUUUAAAAAAAUAUAUACUUAAUUUGGUUAACAAAUUUUUAAUAAUUUUUCAAUUUAAUUAUUUACUAUUUUUUAACAAUAUUUUAAUUUUUAAACAACCAAAUUAAAAAGAAAAUAUAUAUACAUAUAAUAUAUAUACAUAUAAAUACAUUUUAAGGGUCAAUUUCGUCAUUUCAUGUCAAAAAACCAACUCCCAGUCGCGCAACCCGCGAGUGAGCCACACACAAGUCAACUAGGGGGGUUUUUGCCUUUGACUAAAUUUCACAGGGGGGUUUUGGCUAGUUUAUUUAUCACAGGGGGGUUUUUGCUAUUUAGAGAUUACACAGGGGUACAUUUUGCAGUUUACUCUAUUUAAGUUAUAUGAUCAAAUUACAAAAAAGUUCAUCGUGUUUGGAUAAUUACAACCAUCCCCUUAAUUAUGUAUUGUUUUAGGAAAAACUCCCUUCUUCAGUAGGUAAAUUUAGCAAUGUAAGGAUGUAUGUGUAAGACAAUACGUAGUUGAGGGUGGUUGUAAUUACUCACAUGAAGGUUUUCUUGUAAUUUAAUCAUGAAGGGUUUUCUUGUAAUUUAAUCAUGAAGGGUUUUCUUGUAAUUUAAUCAUACUUAGUGGGAUGGCCGUAAUUUACCUUAAGUUAUAUUAGGUAGUAGAAAGUUUGAGGUAUAUCGGGAGAGAAAACAUUCAAAUAGAUUAAAGAGAUACAUGGGUGUUUAAGUGUUUGUAAAAUAAACUUUUGUUUUUUUGCUCCUAUUAACAUGAGCUGCUCUAAGCCAUAAUCUUAAAAACAUCCAUGUAUCUUUUUAAUCUAUUUUAGUUGAUUUUCUAGCUAAGUUCCAAAUACCCCAACUUUUAAAAAUAACCAUUUAAUUCAAACUUAACUCACAGUCACAAACUUCUUCUUUUAAAUAAGCUUUUGCAAACACCACCUUAAUCCGAUAGAAGAAAAUUGCUUUUUUUUUUUUUUGCUUAUACUAAAAACUUAUUUUCAACGUCGCCGACUAUAUGCUCUUUUUAUGAAUUUUAUUAUGCAAUUUAAUAACUAUUAAUAUAGUGUAAAACAAUCAUUUUUUUUAUUAAAUGUUAUGUGAAAUUUGAUGAAUAUAUUUGAUGAUGCUAGAGUUAGAUCAUCUUAGAGAGUCGAAGUAGGAUGAGCUGUAAGAGCAAAGUGGAUCACUGGCUCACGAGCUUGAUGACCUUGAAAUACCUGUGAUCAUAGAACACGUAAACUAAGUCGGAGGUUGAUCCGGCGGAAACCCCUCCGACGCUCAAGUCAGACGCGCGGAUAGUAGAAAUAGUCCAAAUAAUACAGGUUGUAGUAUUGGUCAGAUAAUAGGACGUCCCUUAACAAAUGAGUUAGAAUCUUUAUUUAUACCUUGUUGGUUGGGCAGGAGUUGGUUAAUUGAGAUUGUCGGGCUCAAACCUUCUUUGAAGGUGAUUGGGCCUCGCUGGUAGUGGUAUUCAAUAUUGAGCUCGUGAUCCAGUAGAUAAAGAAUUAUAGGCCCAUUGGAUUGACGCAAUUAGGUAUAUCAUUAUCAUAUAGUAUAAAAUAAUUACAAGUAACAUAAAAAUUAAUUAGAAAGUCGCUUGAAAUAUUACAAUUUGGUUACUCGUACUUCAAAUUAAUAAUAAAAAUAUAAAUUGAUUCAAAUAUAACUAAGGUGAAAAAUCAAAAUCGAGAUUUGUUCAAUAUUUUGUUUUGCAAAUAAUCCACUUUCUUCCUCUUGCCUUUACUUUAACAAUUCAAAAAGAAAUGGUCAAAUAAUAAUAAUAAUAAUAAUAAUAAUAGUUCAAAUUAGUUAACCAAUAAACAUUAAACAUGCGAAUGCAUGUGUAAUGAGAAUUGGCCGAAACUCAUGUCUUCAGAAUGGGUCCACAAGAAAGAGAUAUAAUAUUUAUUGAAUUGUCACGUGUCUUCUAUUGAAUGGAGUAUGUUUAUAUGCAAUUAACGGAGCAUCAGUUUUGUAGAACUUACACCUAAAAUACACCUUAUAGUUUUACAUCAUUAAUCUACUCAAAAUAAGACACACAAUCAUGUGUAUGUGAUCUUAGUGGAUAGUUAUUUAUAUAUAUAUAUAUAUAUAUAUCUACGGUUUAAGACCGCAUAGUGCAUUUCACCAGGUGUAGGAUCUUAUUAGCCACAGUGCAUCCAUUACUCCCGUAUAAUUAGAAUAGUUCUUUUUUUUUUUUUUUAAUUGAAUUAGAAUAGUUGUUAAGAGGGAAAAAUACACUUUUUGUACCUUAAGUUGAUCUCGAUUUUACAUUUGUUCCUCAUUGUUCACACAAAAAAAAAAAAAAAAAAAAAAGCCAUAUAGUCUUUCAUGUUUAAAAAAAUUAACAUUUUUAGUUUUUUAGUCAAUUUUCCAUCAUUAGUGACAGAAUAAUGGUAAAUUAACGCUGUAUUGAAACCUAAGAGACUAAACCUAUUAUUUUUCUAAAUAAAAAGGACAAAAUGUGAAAUUGAGAUAACGCGAGAGAUGAAAAAUGUAUUUUUUUUCGUUGUUAUGUCUUAUUUAAGGACUCGAUCGAGGACCUACUUUACGUAAUUAUUGAAUGAAGAACAUAUCCACUACUUAACUUACUUGCCGUAAGUGCAUACCAAGAAUUCGUAUCACACUCUCCAAUCUUCUCAAAUGUCUCUGAAAAUAACUUUGAAAGAUGUAUUUAACAAGCUCUAAUUCAGUUGAAUUUCAUUUUUGCCGGUCAGGAAUUUAUUUCGAUCGUCAUUUAAAGAAAGAUUCACUAGAAUCAAAGGGGUGUUUGUUGUGAAUUUUAUAGCAAGAAAUCUUGGGGGAACAAAAGGUGAAUUACAUUUCCGGUGGUUGAAUAUAUAUAUGGGGUCAUUAGCAAUAAGCCCCUCAUUUAGAUAAGAAAUAGUGAUAUGUUCAUACCAUAAUUCUUUCUUUGUGAUAACCCCUAGAAAUUUUAUUCCCAAUAUUAACCUUUCAAUAAUUACCAUGCUUUGCAACAAUUACCCAUGAUUUUCGAAAUCCCUAACAAUAUGGGUGCAUAAAUCCCAAUUAAUUAGCAUUAAUAUCUACUUUCCCUAAAAAAACUGCUUCCAAAUUAAAAAAUAAAUAAAUCAAAUCACAGAAAAUUUGCUCAAGAAGACGCACAUAAAUGAAAACUCCCCAAAAUCGAAAACUCCUCGAAAUCGAAAACUCCCUCGCUCGAAACUGCAAUCGCAUACCAAAAAUCGAACACAUUUGGUGCAGCAUCAUCCAUCCCUCGCCCAUUACUAGUCAUACACUGUUAGGAUUUGAGUUGAAGUAGUCACAUUCAAAUCUAUAUCAUGCAAAUUGAAGAAGAAAGUAUCAUCGAAACGCAAACGAGUUUUUUGUUUGUUUGGAUUAGAGUUGAAGUAGUCACAUUCACUUUUUUUUUUUAUGCAUUAAAAAGCAUACUUGAAUGUUUAUUAAUUCUUAUGCUAUUAGUAUUGAUAUUUUAUUAUUAUUGACAAAAAAUAUGAUUUACAAUGUAUAAAUAUGACUGUAUUCUGCCAACUAGCUUUCCCCACAUUAAAACAUGAUUAUUAACAUAACAGUGAAAAUAUGACUAUAGUGUGACUAUGCUUUGUAUAACAGUAUAAUUGACAUAGUGAGAAUUAACAGACAUUAGCAGCAUGAUUAUGAACAGAACAGUAAGAAUAUGACUAUUAUGUGACUAUGUUCUGUGAUAUUGAGCAAAGUAAAGGGGGAAAAAUGGAAUUUACCGAAAAUUAAAUUACAGAAUACACGUGUUAAAUAGCAAAAAAAAAAUGAUUGGUGGCUAAAUGACUUAUCAACAAGAGAAAAUAUAUGGGCUAGAAAAGAGGUGACCAAAGAACCUGCAAAAGGUGUGAGAAUAUGACUAUUAUGUGACCUAUGCUUUAUGUAACAAUAUAAUUGACGGUGAAAAUUAACAAACAACAGUAGCAUAAUUAUUAACAAAACAGUGAGAAUUUGACUAUUAUGUGACUACUCUGUAAAUCGAGAUAAAAUGAAAUCAGAUACAACUCGGACGACACAAACCCAUACAUUUUGCUCUGAACAAAACAAACGCUCGUAAAUUGCGAACCAAAUAUUAUAAUCCAUAGACUAAAUUAAGAAAAAAAAAAGAAAAAAAAAAUAAUUCCAAACAAUCUCUGAUCUUUUCCAUGCAACUUUUCUUCAACACUAAGCACAGAGCGCUACAAAGACGACGACCAUGAACCUCGAUCUAGCCCAAAAAUACUUGCGUAUAUCUAUCAACACGCCUACAGAUUCACGCAGAGAAAAUCUCGUACAACUACAAACAAGGAAACAAUUAUGGGAAAAUAUUAGAAAUAUAUAUUUGAUUUAUUUUAAAAACUGCUGUUAAGGGUAAUUAUGUCUUAUCCCAUCUUAAAAAGGGGGUCUCACUAAUUAAAAUUGGGUGUAGACAAAAGUCUUAAAAGUCAAAUGGGUUUUUCUCAUAAUAUUUUUCAUUUGAGGGGGUAUUGCAUAUUUCCCAUAUAUAUAUUGGGUAAUUGUCUAUAGACCCUCUAUUAUUAGAUUUUAUUGGUUAAAAUCCAAGUUAUAAAUCCAAUAUUGCUAUAACCCCCUACUAAUUUUAUGGCUGAUUUGCCCUUUAGCAAAAAUAGGAAAAUUCUAGUCUUAUCUCUAUUUAUUCCUAAAAUUCUCCACCAAAAUCGGUUUUAGCAAAAAUUGUGCUGCAAAACGUCAAUUGCAAAUCCUCCCCAAAUUGCAUUCUGCCAUCAUUAAUCUCUCGAAAAACAAAACUUCUCCCUGCCCCUGUUUCUUCAGUGCAAUCUCUGUAACCCUCGAGAACGAUGGAAUCUCUAUAACUUCUGCAAAUCGCCAACAAACAAAACACAUCCUAGAGAAUAGUGCAAAAUCAAAACGUAUAGGUAAUUUGCUAUUGCGGUUUUUUAAAUGCCUUUAAUGGCGAUUCAUUGACGGAAUGCAAUGAGUUUUUUUUUUUUAUAUCAUCAGUGAAAGAUGCAGAUUUAGAGGUUUUAACCCCAAGUAAUUUUUAUUUUUAUUUUUUGUUUUGACAUUAUUUUUUGUUUGGAUUUUACUGUUCAAGUUACAAUAUUUUGCCGAUUGUUUUGCGUUUUUGUUACAUCUUUUCAGAUCUCGAUUGCGAUUUUUUGUUUUGUCGCCUUUUGUGCUUUUCGGCCCUGGGAGUACUUUGUUGAAUUUGUCUUUUUCCUCCUAAAUUCGUUGAUUGUUUGUUUGGAGUUUCCUGGUUUGUGUUACAUUAUUUUGUGUUAUCAUUUUGAUGUUUUGUUUUUUUCGUUCAUGUUAUUUUCUGGUGUCGACUGCAACAUAUAUUCGAUUUCGUGAUUUUAUUGUUUGCAAGUUGUAUUUUCUAGUGUAGUAUAUUUUGUACUUUGCUGUUUAUUCUGCAUUUUGCAUAUAUGAUGUAAUUUUUGAUAUUGUAUAUUUGGUUUGAACUUUGGUAUAUUCUUAGUCAUCUUCUGAUUUUUAAAUUGCAUUUUAUUGUUUGAAAAUUAUAAUUUGCAUUUGAUGUUACCAAAUGCACCUUGCAUAUUGUUAUGUGCAAUUGAUGUACAUGGGUUAUAGGUACCGACAUGGUUGUGCAAUAAUUUGUUUUUUUUCAAGAACAGUUGAUUUGACGAAGGGGAAGAAGAAAGUAGAUGAAUCAUUCUCCUCUUCAAAAAGAGGAAAGGAACGAUGAAUCAAGUCGAAUCUAUUUGCACGGUAGCACGAAGCUAUAAUAUGUUUUGACGUCGCCUCAACGAAAACCAGAUUUGAUUGAUUGUAGGAUUUUUGUCUUGUAUAUUGCAAGGCAGUUGUGUAUGCAACAACCAUUAGUGAGAAACAUUGCAGCAAAUGGGAUUAUCGAACUCGAAAAACUUUUAAUUAUCAGUUCUUGAACGACGAGGAUACUGUUGAAUUUAAUUAGAAUUUGUUUAUGACAUUUACUUAUGUUUAGCAGGACAUUGUUUUUUAUUUGUAACAUUAUAUUUUUGUUGGAUUUUGAUAUGAACUAUUUUCUAAUAUAUUCCAAAUUCAUGCAGUUAUUUUGUGUAUUGGUAUAUGCUUGCCAAUUUAUAAUUUCUUAUAAAUUCAGUAAAUUGUUAAAAAAACAGGCAAAGUGUCACAGGGCUUUAGUCGACUUUUGUUAUGCUAGACACUGUUGCAAUAAAAUUGUCACAGGGCUUUAGUCUUCAUUCUGCUGUUAUAGUUUGCAUUUUGCUAUUGUAAUUUAUAUGCAAGCUGCAAAAAGAAGAGGCAAAGUUCAAAUCAUACAAUACCAACUGCAAAAACAAAUAUAUGGCAUCAAAAGUGUAGAUAAUAUUAUACCAAAAACUUACAUCAUAUAUAACAACAACAUAUACAAAUAUAUUCGAGCAACAAACACAUCGUAUAUGCAAACUGCAAACAUAAAAAUCAAAAGUGCAAACAAUACCAUGCCAAACAACUCAAAAAAAAUAUAUAACAUCAUAGUGUAAAAUAUAAUCUGCUAGAAAGAGCAAAACGCAAAACAAAAAUCCACCAACAUCGAAAAAUGUGCAAAUCGACAUAAAAAAUGAAAAAAAACUUGAUGUUUGUUGUUCGAUAUGGGCAUUAUAAAAUGAUGUUUUGUUGUUUGAUGUUUGAAUCAUGAAUGAAUGUUUAAAGUUUGAUAUUUACAGAACAGAGAUUACCAGUAACAAUCAAGUAUGCAAAAAACAACUUAAAAUAAUAAAUAAAAGCAGCAAAAGUGUAAAAAUAUAUUCGAGCAAAAAACACAUUACAUACGUAAACUGCAAGAAUAAAAAUCAAAGUGCAAAUAGUACCAUAUACUAACAACAACAAAAUAAAUAGAUUACAACAAAGUGUAAACAAAUAGCAAACAACAAACACAAUUUCCGUCUCAAGAUAAUCAGAUUUAGUCGAUGUCCUUGAGCCUCUAGAUACGGAACUGCUCUGGCGAUGAAAGAAGGAAUGGAUUUAGCGGCGAAGAAUGAGCGAGCCAUUUUGUACUCGUUUUGGUUUACACAAAGAAAAGAAAACUAAAUGAAAUAUUCUCCUGAUGAGCAAAUAAAGAGAAAAUAUGUGAAUCGGUCUCAAUCACAUUCUCUAUGGUCAUCUUCUCCUUCAAUCUUACACCAUCAACCCUAAAAAAAUCACAAAUUUUAAUUUAAUGCCUGCCAACUGAAUCAAAAGCCUGAAUUCAAAUUUCAAUCUCGAAAUCUAAAUCAGAGUUUUUGCGAAACAGAAUAAGAGUGUUGUCAAAGAUGAAUCAACCACGUUUCAUAAACUCCCUUUCAGGAUGAGUUGUUUUUUCCAACCACGUUCAUAAUUCCCUUCCAAAUCUUAUGACGUGAUUUAUGGGAUUUAUUCUCACAAUUUACGUAAUUAAAGACUUCCAUAAAUAAAUAAUUUAUUGUUCAAGGGUGUUUAUGUCCAUAUGCAUAUUGAUUUUAUUCCAUUUAAUUGAUUUUUUUAGUCAAAGGGCCUAUAGCUAUAUUAAUCUAAUAGAUUGGAUUCCAACCUAUAUAAGUUUGAAAUAAGAGGGUAUAGCUAAUUAUAUAUAUAUAGAUAUAUAUAUAUAUAUAUAUAUAUAUAUAUAUAUAUAUAUAUAUAUAUAUAUAUAUGUGUGUGUGUGUGUGUGUAUGUGUGUGUGUGUGUUAUAGAGAUUUGUGUGUGUGUAUUUAAUAUAAUAUAUAUGGGCAAAUUACGGCCACCCCUGUGUUAUAGUCAAAUUACGAAAAAACCCCUCCUGUUUGGGUAAUUAUAGCCACCCUCUUUUUAAAUAUUUUGACAUAAAAUUUAUGUAACUCGGUUAUUUACCAAACAAAAUUGUAUAUUCAAUUCGGUAAACGAUAUGAAAUGUUGGCGUACCAAAAUUUCGGUUCGGUUUAACCGAUUUAACAUCCCUAAAUUAACCUAUGGAUGAGUAUUUUCGUAAGAUAAUACAUAGUUGAGGGGGUGGCUAUAAUUAUCCAAACAUAAGGGGGGUUUUCGUAAUUUGACCAUAAAACAUGGAUUUCCUUCCUUUAAGGGUUAAUAUGCUAGAGGUGCCUAGUUGGAAACAUAAUUAGAUAUGGGAUAGAACCCUAAUAUUUUUUUCUUAACUAAAUCAUUUUUACAAAAAUAAAUAUGACCCACAUCCUUUACUUUUUUUAUUACAAAUUUUCCCUCAACCUAAAUCCAUAAAUUCUACACGUUUUUCCCAGAUCUAAUUUUCUUAUUUUCUUCCCUCUUCUCUCUCGUUCUCCCUCUCUCGUUCACCUUCUUUCUGUCGUCUCUCUUUCUCUCGCUCUCCCUCUCCAUCAGUUCUCACGCGAUGGCUAUGGCGCAACUAUGGCGGUGGAGGCGGCAUUAAUAAGGGGAUGGAGGCAGAAGGCCACAACGACUAUGGUGGUGGAGGUCAGAUCUACGGCGGAUGGUGACGGCUAUGGCGGCUAGGUUUUAAUUUGGUCGACGGCUAGGGUUUAAUUUGCUCGACGACUAUGACGGCUAGGGUUUAAUUUGGUCGAUAGCUAAGGUUUAAUUUGAUCAGAUCUACGGUGGAUGGUGGCUAGGUUUUAAUUUGGUCGACGGCUAUGGCGGCUAGGGUUUAAUUUGGGUCAGAUCUAUGGUGGAUGGUGGCUAGGUUUUAAUUUGGUCGACGGCUAGGGUUUAAUUUGGUUGACGGCUACGGCAGCUAGGGUUUAAUUUGGUCGAUAGCUAGGGUUUAAUUUGAUCGGCGGCUAGGGUUGGUGGACGACUAGGUUUUUGCAGGUAGGGUUUGGCGGCGGCUGAAAUUUGUUGGUUGCUAUGAUUUAACGGUGGCUGGAAGAUGUUGGAAGUUAGGGUUUGGCGGCGGCUGAGAGUUGGUGAAUGAUAGAGUUCGGAAUAGUACACCACAGUAUACCGUAGUAUACCAUAGCGUACCAUAGCAUAUCAUAGUAUCUUUUCAAAUUUGGUGUAUUAUUUGACAAAAACGAAACUACGGGUGUUUGCAGAUGACUACGACCGGAAAAAAAUUAAAAAAAAAAUCAUAAUUUUCAAUAUUAUGUGGAAAAAAGAUAAGAAAAAAAUAGAUUCUUAUAGUAAUGAGAAAAAACAAAAAGAGAAACGUAUUCCACGUAAAAAAUAAAAUAACAAAAAUGCUAGAUGCAAAUUAAAAAUGUUAAAUAAUACCUUAGUACACCAUUGUACAUCAUAGAAUAUUUACAAUCCGAUGUAAUUUCGAAUUUGUGAAUGGAGGGGCAUUUUUUUAAUGAAUUUUGAUAAAGGAUGUGAAGCAAAUUUUAAUUAGGCUUGUCAUUUAAUUCUAAUAAGAUUUGUUACCAGGGACUUAUAUCUUAAGACCCAUUUUCUGUAAAGAAGAUACAAAACUGUAAUUCCAAAUAACCCGUCAUCAACAAGCUAAUGGUAUCAGGGAUGAUUUGCUAAAUAUAUUUAAGAAAAUUAUAAAAAAUAUAUAUACUAUAGAGUAUAGAGACGAAGGGGAUUAAGAGAUUCAAUUAAGAUAACCAAGAAAACUUCACAGGUUAUAAAUUAAUGCAAGUAAUUGAAAAGGAAAAUAUCUUCAAAACGAAAUAUGAAUAAGUUUGUACUUUGAGGAUUUCAUGUUUCUACCCUUACAUUUAGGGUAAACAACAUAAAACUCCAUGUGUUAAGGAAAACAUGCGCCAAAUCCCCUUAUGUUCUUUUUACUGCAUAAAACCACAUGUGUUUCAUUUUUCCUUGCAGGAAAUCAUCAUUUUCUUUAAUAUUUAACACCGUUAACAAUAAAUGGUAUUUUAUGCAAGCGUUUAGUAACAGAGGGGGGUUUUCUGCAUAUUUUCUACAAUACAAUAGGAAUUUAUGCAAAAAAAAAAUAUUUAUUCGUUUAGAAAUCAUUAUUUUCUUAAUUUAAGUCGAACCCAUUUAUUCAGUUAUAAUAUAAAAAAAACUGAAAAAUUAAUGGGUGUGGUGAUUCUUUUUUUAAUGUUUUUUUUUCAUAUAAUUUAAUUUGUUAAUUAAUUUAAAACAAUUGAUUUUAAAAAAUAUAUAUAUUUAUAUUAUCAGAAUCAUUAUAUAUUUAAAUAAUGUAUUAUGGGUUAGUUAUAUAUAAAAAGAAAAUAAAUGAUUUGAGAAUUCGUUCCAACUUCCAUCUCGACUAUUAUUUUUUUUAUUUUCAUAUUGUAAAUUAAUUGAUGUAUUCGACUUCAUUUAAGAAAAUAUAUAUUUUUUUAAAUUUAAAUAAAUAAAUUAAAUUUUCAUAAACCCCCCUUGUGUUGAAAAACCAUGUACCAAAUCCCUCUGUAUUACAAAAAACUUGCAUAAAAUCCCCUCUAUAGUUAACCAUUAACAGAAAUGAGGAUUUUAUGCAAGGAAAAAUAGAACACAUGGGGGUUUUACGCAAUAAAACGUUACGUGCGAGCAUGUGAUCACGGACUUCUACCCCCUGUCUUACCUAUAUUUUUUAUUUGGCCCCAAUUUAACUUUAUUAUUAUAAAUUCGUCCAAAAAAAAAAAUCAAAUCCCCAAAAAAUUAUUUCGAAUGUUCCAACCCCGCCCCGUCUGCCAUUUUUUACCUCCGCCGACCCAUCAACUGUACAUUUGUGUCACUUUUUUUUUUAAUUGAAAUGAUUUAUAAUUGUUUUUUUUUUUUUUGCAUUUUUUAUAUAAAAUUGAAAUACUCUUAAAAAUUUGUUAAUGAAUAAUAAAAAUACCAAAAAAAAAUUUAUAAGAUUAGGCAAAAUCGAUUUUAUUGUAUAGGGUAAAUAGCACUUAACCCCCCAUGUGGUUACAAGUUUUUACAGACGACCCCAUUGUGCUUGUAAUAUCAGCACUUAAGCCCCUUCUGGUUGAUGCGGUAGCUUCCGUUAGUUUUCCGUUAAACUUAACCGCAUGUGUCAAAAGUCAAAGUAUUUUUUUUUUUUCAGAUGAUCCCCUUGUGAUUUCAUUUUUGCAGGUAACCCCUUUGAAGUAUGACACACGCAGUUAAGUUUGACGGAAAAACUAACGGAAGCAACCCCAUAAACUACAAGGGGGUUAUCUGCUGAUAUUACGAGCACAAGGGGGUCAUCUGCAAAAAGUUGUGACCACAAGGGGGUUAAGUGUUGUUUAUCCUAUAAACAACUAAAAUCAAUAUUUCUGAAAUUACAAAAUAUGUUUAAUUAUAUUUUAUAUAUUAAUAAUGAAAUAAAUUAUAUUUAUAAAAUUAAAAAAGGAAUCUAAUUAACUUUGGUAUAAUCAAAUUAGUUACAAUGUUUUCGAUUAAAAAAAUUAAAAUAAAGAAAUAAAUAAUAUUUGUGAAUAAAAUAUAAUAUACUAAUUCCUAAAACACUCCUAUGUUAUGUUUUGUCAUUUUAUAUUUUUAGUACAUUUCUCGAAUUUAAUUUUAUUUGGACGAAAAUGUAAGAAUAAAGUGAUAUUGGGGUUAAAUUAAUAAUAUAGUUAAAAAGAAGGGGUUUAUCUGCAUUGUCACGUGCCUCGCACGUUACUUUUCCGUCCAAACUAACACCAAUUUCAAACGGUGGACGAAAAUUGUAGAAAAAACUGGUUAUUUGAGGAUCAAUUUCGUGCAAACAAAAGUUUAAGGACCAAAAUUAAAAAUGGUGUAUAAUAUAGGGACCAAAACUAUAAUUAUCCCUUUGUUUGUGAAAAAGUAUGCUAAUUUUGAAAAAAGAUAAAAUCCUAAACGAUAUAGUCUCUAAUAUAUGGUAUUCUAUUUGUGUCAAUAAUGUUAAAGCAUUUUCAUGGGCUUCAACUAGAAGUAAGUUAUUUUCAUAGGUUUCAACUAAAAGUAUAUAUAAAAUAGGCUAAGACGCUAAGUAAUAUAAAUUAGGUGGAACAAGUAGAUUAAUUCAUAUAGAUAAUUGCAGCGUACUGCACGUUACAAAUGCUAAAAAGCGAAAAGGACAACUCAUCAUCAUUUUUCGACUACAUUACAGGUUGAAGCGUUUCUAGUCGGAGUUAAACGAAAUUCAUUUUGUCGUAAAAAUGUCUCUCAUAGCUGCAAUAUUCAUGUGCUCUAUGAUGCUUAAUGCGAAUAUCAACGCGCAAUCGACUAAUUCUAAACAACCGCUCCCACCAUUCUCUUGUGACUCAAUCACUAAUCCAUCUACAAAGUCGUAUCCAUUCUGCAACGUCGAUUUGCCGAUCGGAAAACGGGCCCACGAUUUGGUCUCGCGUCUCACAUUGAACGAAAAAAUCUCCCAGCUCGUUAAUAAGGCAUCGGCAAUCCCAAGGCUAGGCAUACCCUACUACCAAUGGUGGUCGGAGGCUCUGCAUGGAGUCGCCGGUACCUUGGGUGUAGAUACCGGCUUCUUUUUUAACGGGACUAUCCGCGCGGCGACUAGUUUUCCUCAAGUUAUACUCACCGCCGCCACCUUUGAUGCCCAUCUUUGGUAUCGAAUAGCCAAGGUAAAUUAUAUUGAAUGACCAUCUCAACUAAAAGUUUAAACUAUUAGUGAAAUGUAUCGUUUAAUAUUAAUAUCUUCAAUACGCCCCCUAAAGUACAGGAUUUGGCAUGGCUCUGAUAGCCUCUUGAAUGACCAUCUCAACCAAAAGUUUAAGCUAUAAGUGAAAUGUAUCAUUUAAUAUUAAUAUCUCCAAUACGCCCCCUCAAGUGCAGAAUUUGGCAUGGCUCUGAUAGCAUGCUGAAUGACCAUCUCAACCAAAAACUUAAGCUAUCAGUCAAAUGUAUCAUUUAAUAUUAAUAUCUCCAAUAAAUUAGUCAAGAAAUAAAGUAAAGUUAUUGUGAUAUCGGAUUAUCGCGAUUUUAAGCAUAUGCAUAAUACUAAAAUCAAUUGUGCUAGUAUCUAACACGUAUAUGUAUGAGUAUGCAUUUAAAGGUGAUCGGGACGGAGGGUCGAGCAAUAUACAAUGAAGGGGAGGCGACGGGCAUGACGUUUUGGUCACCCAACAUUAAUAUUUUCCGAGAUCCGAGGUGGGGAAGGGGGCAAGAGACACCUGGCGAAGACCCUUUCAUGACAAGUAAAUAUGGCGUCUCGUUUGUUCGAGGCAUUCAAGGUGACAGCUUCGAAGGCGGUGACCUCAAAGACGGCCGUCUUCUAGCCUCCGCGUGCUGUAAACAUCUCACUGCCUAUGAUUUGGAGAGUUGGAACGGAAAUAGUCGUUUUACGUUCGACGCUCAUGUAUGUAUCUCUUUCAUCACUAUAUAUUCAAUAUAUAUAUAUAUAUAUAUAUAUAUAUAUAUAUAUAUAUAUAUAUAUAUAUAUAUUGCAGAGAAAUGUGAGAAUUAAUUAAGUGCAUUUCUAAGGGAAAAAAUAUUUACUUUGUCCUUUUUCGGUUUAAUUAGCGAAAUCCCAUGAACUAAGGUUAAAUUAAUAGAAAAAAAAAAAUUUGAAUUUUGUCAAUUUCUAUCCAAAUUUGAACAAUUUUUUUAAUUCUAGUUUAAAAAAAUUUCAUAUCGAUUUGGGCGGAUUUUUUCAGAACCAAAUUAGAAUUAGUUAUCCACUCCCGAAAAAAUAAUGUUUUUUCAAAGUGUUAAUUAUACCCCUAACUAGGGGUGGUAAACGAGCCGAGCCGGCUCGCGAACUUGACGAGCCGGCUCGACAAAGGCUCGAACUCGAGCUCAGGUUUUUCGAGCUCGAGCUCGAGCUCACAAGUUCGAGCUUUGGACGAGCUCGAGCUCGAGCCCAAAUAUAGUUGUUCGCCAGCUCGCGAGCUGGUGUUUUUUUUUUUUUUUUUUUUUUAAUGUUUUAUAUAUUAUAUAUUAUUAUUAUUAUUAUUAUUAUUAUUAUUAUUAUUAUUAUUAUUAUUAUUAUUAUUAUUAUUAUUAUUAUUAUUAUUAUUAUUAUUAUUAUUAUUAUUAUUAUUAUUAUUAUUAUUAAUAUAAAAUAUUAUAAUAAUAAUAUAAAAAUAACAUUAAAAAUUUAAAAAUAUAUAUAACUACAGUUUUUUAUUUAUUUUAUAAUUUUUUUUCAUUAUACUAUAAAUAUUUUUUAAUAAAAAAUUAAUAAUAAAAAAAAAAGUAAAAAACAUAAAAAAAUAAAAACAUAAUGAGCUCGAGCUCGUCAAAAUUGGCUCGAGCUUGAGCUCGAGCACGAGCUCGAGCUCGGCAUAAUGGACUCGAGCUCGAGCUCGAGCCUGCCAAAACAGCCGACCUCGGCUCGUUCACACCCCUACCCCUAACAUUGUUAAUUUCAAUAUUUUUUUUCUUUUUUCUUAUUCUGCAUUUUAUUUAUUAAAAAAAAUAUCAGGGUCAGUUUAGUCAAUUCAUGUAAGUCAACAGCCAAUUUCGAAAAAAGGGCUGUGUGCUUUGUCAAACAAAACAUAUGAGAGUCUUUGCUAAAUUUUUUAACACAGAUUUUUUCGGCAAUUCGAAAUUACGUAAUGUUUUUAAUUAACUCUUAGGGUGUUUCUCAUAAACUACUUUCUUUUUUUUGUUAAAGGUUACAAAGCAGGAUAUGGCAGAUACAUAUCAGCCACCUUUCAAAAGCUGUGUAGAACAAGGCCGAGCGAGCGGGAUUAUGUGUGCUUAUAAUCUCGUAAAUGGUGUUCCCAAUUGUGCUGAUUACGAUUUACUAACGAAAACAGCUCGUCGCGAAUGGGGAUUCCAAGGGUAUCUUCUUUAAUAACUUGAAAAAUCACUUUCCUUCUUGUACAUCUAAUGUCUCUAACAUCACCGUAAACGAACAGGUACAUAACAUCUGAUUGUGGUGCAGUCUCUCUUCUCUAUGGUACGCAAAAUUAUUCGAAAUCACACGAAGAUGCUGUAGCAGAUGUGCUUAAAGCAGGUAACAUGUGCCCUUUUUCAUUUUUUUUAAAAGAAUUAUUUGUACUCAUGGUUCUUAAAUCGUAAAUCGAAUUGAAAUCGAUUUGUAAAAAAAUCAAAUCGUAAGUCCAAUCGAAUCGUAAAUCGUAAGAUUGUAUUCUUUCAAAAAUAAUAUAGAUAAUAAUUAUAUAUAAAUAUUUUAAAGAAAUUAUAUAAUGUUAUAAGAAAUGUAUAUGUCGUUUAAAAUUUAUAAAGUCAAACUAUAACAGUUGUAUCUUGAAGAAUAUAAAGAAUUGAUUGAAUUAAAUAUAAAUAAAUAAAUGACGUAAUACAAGCUCACUUAUGCUAUUAAAAUCGGUGACGUGUGAGAAAUUCAAGUAAAAAUACAAAUGUCUCUUGAGAACUAAUUAAAAUAAAUAAUAUUUAUUUAUAGAAAACUGAAUUAAACUCAUUCCAACUUAUUUUCAUACUGUAUAGUGCAACAAUAGACGAGGAAUAGAAGUAAAAGUAAUACUAUAUGGUAUUUUCUUUUUAAAUAUACUUGAUUUAAUAGUAUUUUAUGGGAUAAAGUGUUGACAAUAACGUAAUAAUCACAUUAAAUAUUUCUAUAUAUAAAGUCUAAUGUAUUUUUAAUUAAAAUUAUUAUAAAUAUUAAUAUAAUAAAUUAAAAUUUUCUUAAAUGUAAAAAUCGUAAAUCGUAAGAUUUCAUCGGUUUUUUGACAUUUAAGAUUUAAAUCGAUUUAGGUAUGAAUCCAAUCGAAUCGUAACAUUUGAAUCGUAAAUCGUAAGAUUUUAAUAACCAUGUCUAUACGUAUAGCAUUGAUCAACAUGAUAAUAGCUCAACCUAAUAUAGAACAAAAUUUUAAUGACAGUUUCUAUCAAAUUGGAAAAAAAGUAAAAUAAAUUAUAAAUACAGGUUUGGAUGUUGAAUGCGGCAACUAUUUGACGAAUCACACGAAAUCAGCAAUCGAAAAAGGGAAAGUGUCGGAGCAUGAUAUAGACAGAGCCCUUCGUAACCUCUUCACUAUUAGGAUGAGAUUAGGACUUUUCAAUGGAAAUCCAAGUGAACAUGUAUACGGCAAUCUUAGCCGUAACGACGUAUGUAGUCCCGAGCAUCAAGAUUUAGCCCUUGAAGUUGCACGCGAUGGCAUCGUCCUUUUAAAGAACUCCGCAAAUCUACUUCCACUAUCUAAGUCCAAAACAAAGUCCCUUGCCGUAAUAGGCCCCAAUUCCAAUGUAUCGGAAACACUCUUAGGAAGCUACGCGGGCCCCCCGUGCAAGACAAUUACUCCACUACAAGGACUAAUGAAUUAUGUCAAGAAAACCGAAUUCCAUAAGGGUUGCGAAACCGUUAAUUGCACCUCAAUUGCCUCCAGAGAAGCGACGAGAAUUGCCAGAUCAGCAGAUUAUGUUGUACUCGUAAUGGGAAUCAAUCAAGAUUUUGAGCGCGAAGAUUUGGAUCGAGAAGACUUGGUACUUCCAGGUCAGCAACAGAGUCUUAUCAGGAGUGUUGCAAACGCAGCUAAAAAUCCGGUUAUAUUGGUAUUGCUCUGUGGAGGCCCCGUUGAUAUUUCGUUUGCGAAAAAUAACCCCAAGAUUGGAGGUAUUUUGUGGGCUGGAUAUCCCGGUGAAGCUGGGGGGAAAGCAAUUGCAGAGAUCAUAUUUGGUGACCACAAUCCAGGUACAUUUCCUCAACUUUUUUUUUUUUCCUUCUUUUCUUCACGAGUCAAAGGUUUAAAAAUAUACUAGGAUUAAUUAAUAUUGAAAUUUAUAUUAGUCGAUAAAUUAAUAACCUCGGUUAAAUAAUAAUUUUUCCUGGUCCCGACUCGGUAAAAACCUUCUAAACUAUUAGUUCGAUAAUUUAAUAAUUCGCUAAAUUAAUAGAAUUUUGGCAGUUCUGAUUGUAUUAAUUUAUAGAUGUUUGUUUAAUUGUAUGCUUGUUUUUCCAGGAGGAAGGUUGCCUGUAACUUGGUAUCCGAAAGAUUUCAUCAAAAUACCAAUGACUGAUAUGAGAAUGAGGCCCGAUCGCGCAUCUGGCUAUCCGGGACGAACUUAUAGAUUUUACCAAGGCGAAAAAGUUUAUGAAUUUGGCUAUGGUCUUAGCUACUCAAACUAUUCUUACAAAUUUGUUUCUGUCGGCCAAAGCAAGCUCGACUUCAAGCCAGAAAACUCGGGAGAUGUUUCAGUUUCGGAUAUCGGGUUCGAAACAUGUGAGAAGUCAAAGUUUUCGGUUGUUGUUAGUGUUGAAAAUGAAGGGGAGAUGGCCGGUAAGAACUCGGUUCUGCUAUUCCUAAAGCGUGACGAACCUCUUAAGGAUAGUCCCACGAAACAGUUGGUCGGAUUUCAGACAGUGAGAUUGAAUGCAAAUGAGAAGGCUAAUGUUGAAUUUGAAAUAAAUCCAUGUCAGCACUUUGCAAGAGCUAGUGAAGAUGGAAAGAUGGUGAUUGAAUCAGGGACUCAUCAUUUUAUCGUAGGAGAUCAGAAAGAGUAUCCUAUCAGCAUUAAUUAGUUAAUAUUUUCACUAAAAAAUGUCAUUUGGUUUGAAUUAUUCACUCAAGUGAUUUGGAAUAAAUAUGUUCGGGCAAAUUAAUGUUUCAAUUCUCUUAAUAUGCAUAAAUUUUACCUUAAAUUUCUGAACUUGUGUGACAAAUACUAUAAUUUGAUUCACAUAGAAACUCGAAUAACGUUGGAAUUGUUUUUUUUUUCUUAGUGUAGUGAUUUUUUGCAACUCAGGAACUUGGUUAACACGAAGUUCCAUGGCUCUUAGAAUCACUUUAGUUCGUGAUUUAAUAUAAUAAUAUAAUAUAAUAAAUAAGAGAUAUUACACGAAGUAACUAAGAGAUAUAUAAUAUAAUAAUGAAUAAUAAUAAUAAUAAUAUAUACGCUAAUACACCGCCGCAGUCGAAACGGGAAAACGGGAAAGGAGAGGACGUGGAGAUUGGAGACAAAUUGUUGAAACAGUUGAGUAGGGAGUCCUUUCGUGAAGAUAUCGGCGAAUUGGUAGGCGGAUGGGACGUGAAGAACACGAACGUGUCCCAAAGCAACUUUGUCUCGGACAAAGUGGACGUCAAUCUCCACAUGUUUCGUACGAGAGUGUUGAAUAUGAUUGCUGGAUAGGUAGACGGCACUGACGUUGUCACAGUAGACAAUGGUGGCUUUUGAAAGUGGGUAGAGCAACUCAAAAAGUAGGUUGCGUAACCAAGUCGUUUCGCCGACGGCGUUUGCGACAGCUCGAUAUUCUGCCUCCGCACUAGAUCGAGAAGUAGUGACCUGUCGUUUGGAGGACCAAGAAAUGAGGUUGUUGCCGAGGAAAACACAAUAGCCCAGGACAGCCACCCCAAUCAGCGUGGGAGUAAGCGAUAAGAGAGAGGUCCGGAUUGGGGGAGAGGAGAAGGUCGUGGUCGAGAGUGCCACGAAUAUAGCCAAAGAUUCGCUUGAGAGCAGCCAUAUGAGGUUCCUCGGAUCAUGCAUGAAUAAAAAUAUUUGUUGCACAUCAUAGGAAAUGUCGGGACGAGUAAAGGUGAGGUAUUGCAGUGCACCGGCAAGGCUGCGAUAGAUUGUAGGGUCAGCAAUGGGGGGUCAAGUGGUCGAAGCUAACUUGCUCUUUGUGUCAGCCGGCGUAAGACAAGGGUUGCAGGAAGCCAUUUGUGCACGCUCCAAUAUCUCGUCGACGUACUUGCGUUGAGAGAGAAAUAGCCCAUUCGCGAGCGAGUGACUGAGAUGCCGAGAAAGUAGUGAGGAUCUCCAAGAUCCUUCAUUGCGAACUCCGGAUUAAGGGCCGUAAGUACAAUGUCAUCAACAUACAGUAGAAGGUAGGCGCAUGAACUUUUGCGAUAGUGCGUGAACUGCUGCGACAGUCGCGUGAACUGUUGCGACAGUACACAAAGAGUGAAAUGUCGGCCUUGCAUUCUUUGAACCCCAUGUGGUAAUGUGAGAGGCGAAACGCUUAUACCAAGCACGGGGUGCCUGCUUGAGACCGUAGAGGGCUUUGUUGAGACGACACACGUGAGUGGGGCGAGAUGGAUCGACGAAUUCGGAAGGUUGCUCGUAGUAGACAGUUUCAGAGAGAUUGCCAUGUAAGAAGGCAAUUUUCACAUCAAGUUGGUGGAUUGGCCAUAAUCGUGCGAUAGCAAUACUGAGAACUGUUCGAACAGUGGCUGGUUUGAAAACUGGGCUAAUAAAAGUCUCGUCAAAGUCGAUGCCAGCCUGCUGGUGAAAACCGCGAGUAACUCACCGUAUUUUGUAUCGCUCAAGGGAGCCAUCAGACUUGAGUUUCUGUUUGUAUAUCCACUUACCAGAAAUAACAUUAGUGAACUGGGGGCGGGGCACAACAUUCCAAGUAUUUUUUUUAAUUAAAGCAGUAUAUUCCUCAAUCAUGGCGUUUCGCCAAUUUUAGUCAAAAAUAGCUUGGCGAUAGUUGGUGCGAAUGGAAGAGGUAGAGGACCCAACUAUAGAGAAAGGGACUUUGGGUUUGUGGAUGCCCGCUUUACUGCGAGUCACCAUAGGGUGAGCAUGUGGAGGUGGGGGAAGUGUGGGAGUAUGAGAAGGAGAUGUGGGAGUAGAAGAAGGGGUUGUGAGCUGGUCGUGGUCGAGAGAUGGUGCCGCAGAUGAAACAGGUGUCGGCUGUGUUGUAGGACUGUUGGACGAACUGUUGGAACAGGGUGGUUCACUGGUGGAACAGUUGGAUGAACUGUUGCAACGGUUAGACGAAGUCUGAGGGAGGAGGAACAUGGAGGGUGUGUUUUCGUCCAAGGCAGAGGUAGGGAGUGUUUUUGUGGGGGGAGUUGACUCAGCAAAAGGAAAGUGAGUUUCGUCGAAGGUAACAUGACGAGAAAUUAUGAUUCGGCCAGUGGAUCUAUCAAGGCAACGAUAGCCUUUGUGAGAAGAAGGGUGACCAAGAUAGACACAAGGAGUAGAACGAGAGGCGAGUUUAUGUGUGGUGGCGGUGAGGUUGGGAUAACAGAGACAGCCGAAUACUCGAAGAUGAGAGUAAGUAGGUUUGGUGAGGUAAAGAGCUUCGUGAGGGGUCCGGUUUUGUGUGGUUUUGGUAGGUAAAAUAUUGAGUAGAUGGGUGGCCAUAUGAAGGGCUUCGACCCAAUAAGUAGGAGAAAAAUGAGCUUGAAAGAUGAGGGAUCGAAUCAUGUUGGUUAUAGUGCGGAUCAUUCGUUCUGCGUGUCCGUUUUGAGGGGAAGUAUGGGGACACGAAAAACGAUUUAGGAUGCCGUGUUUAGUAAAGUAGUUUUGAAAAUCCGCAUUUUUUAAUUCACGACCAUUAUCACUUUGUAAGGCUUUGAGGGGAUGUUGGAAUUGAGUUUUUAGAAGUGUAUGAAAAUUGACAAAGGUUGUAAAAAUGUCAUAUUUAUUUCGAAGAGGAAAAGUCCAUAAAUAAUGGGUAAAAUCAUCAACUAACACAAGAUAGUAUUUGAAACCCGUAAGACUAGACAUAUGAGAAGUCCAUAAAUCAGCAUGAAUAAUUUGAAAUUGAACAACAAUAGUAGAGUUUUGAGAAAAAAAUGGUAGACAAAAAUGUUUGCCUAAUUGACAGGCAUUACAAAGAGACUCCCUAGGGUCUUUAUUAUUUGAAAGAAAAGUGCUAGAAAAUAAACGGGACAUGACGUGUUUGCCCCGAUGGCCUAGACGCCGAUGCCAAAGAGUUUGAGACGAAGGUGUUGAGACAGUGAGGAAAGCCGCGGGAGGUGAGGUGGGAGAAGAGAUGCCAAAUGGAUAUAGGUCACCGGAGCUAUUGCACCUGAAAAUCUAGACUCGACUCCGAAGAUCCUUUACAGAAAAACCAAACGGGUCAAAUUCAACCGCGCAUGAGUUAUCGCGGGUGAACUUUCUAACAGAGAUAAGGUGUUUGAUGAUAUUGGGUGUGACAUAGACAUUUGUGAGGUGGAAAAGAGUGGUGGGAAGAAUUAUGUGGCCUAUGUGGGUGAUGGGGAGGGUGGAACCAUUACCGACGACAUGAUUGGGAAAAUUACUGCUAGGAUUAAAAACAAAAUUGAAAUUACCUGAGUGUGGUGCCAUAUGAGAGGUCGCCCCGCUGUCCAUGAACCACUGUGACUCGGUAGACUAGUGAAGUGUCACCGUAUCCAAACGAUUUGCAAGAUCCACCACGUUGGCACUGUAGCAUGAACUAUUGCAACAGUUGAUGGAACUGUUAGAGCUGUGCCAUGGCUGCUGUUGGGGAUGAACCUGAGCCGGGGCCGAGUGGCCGGUGUAGUGUUUUGGUGGUCCAGUAAAGUAGGCUUGAGCCGCUGGAGUGGAUGGGUGGUCCGAUGUAUUUGGAGCAGGACUUAGAAUUGACGGGAACGACUGUUGUCGGUAAGGUGCGCGCCAGGGUUGAGAUGCGCUAUGAGCACUAUGGUAGCCGUAGUGGGGCAUGGGGUGACGGUUAGUGUCGCGACCUCCGCGACGGUUGAAUCGGCCACCCCCGCGCUGAUAGUGCGAAGAACCACCUCCAUGGGAACUGUUGUAACUGUUGGAUGGACAUUUCGCGUUGGAGGCGUGGAAAACAACAGCGGUCUGCUCAGGUUCAGCAAGUCUAGUUUCUUCCAUCUGAAGAAGCGAUCGAGUCUGUAGAAAAGUGGGAAGAGGAUUCUGAAGGAGAUGAGAUUGGCAAUGGUCCCGUAAUUUUUCGGAAGGCCCUGUAGGGUUUGUAGGACGAUUUGUUUGUCGGAGAUUGGAUUUCCGAUAUCGGCCAAGCUGUCCGCCGUGAUUUUGAUUAUUUGGCAAUAAUUGUGAAUGGAUAGAGUGCCUUUCUUGAGGGACUUGAAUUUCUCUUCAAGUUGAAUGGCCUGAUAAUCUUUAUUAUCGAUAAAGAGAGAGGAGAUGGCGGUCCAGAGAUCACUGGCGGUGGAUAUUUUAGAGAGAACGAUGCUGGACAAAUCAUCGGAGAUGGUUCCGUAAAUCCAAGAUUGGAGGAGAUAGUCGGCGCGUUGCCAUUCAUCGGCGGAAAUUGAGUCGGGUCGAGGUUUUCCAUGGAGAAGAUCGGAGAGGCAGAAACGAUCGACUGUAAUUCUGAAAAAAUGGCUCACUUUUGAUAGUUGAGAUUUUUCAGAUCUAGGAUGACGGGGAUGAGAGUUAAUAUUGGAGAUGGCAUGAACAAGGUGGAAAGGAUUGAGAGGGGCCGUGGAGGAAGGAGCUUCAUCGCCGGCCAUGGAGAAGGAGAGAGGCGACGACGACUGAGAAAAUAGGGGAAGAUGGUGUUGAUGGCUAGGUUAACCUAGUGUCCGAUACCAUAUAGGAGAAAUAGAGUUGGAGAAAGAGAGAAUUAUGUCUCUUACGUAUAUUAAUCAUAUAUAUAGUUAAAUGUAGGAAAUCCUAACAUAUUACACAAGGUAACUAAGAGAUAAAUAAUAUAAUAAAUAAUAAUAAUAAUAUAUACGCUAAUAAUUUAUAUUUGGUUGAAAUUUUUUGUUCGAGUUAUAUGCCGUUGUGAUGCAUGAAAUUAGAUGAGAAAAAUUAGUUGAUUUAGUAAAAAAAGAAAUAGUUAAUUUAGUAUAAGUCAACUAAGAAACAAUAGUCGAGCAUGUUUGUCGAAAUUUAUUUUAAACAGCUAGUAAGUUUGUAGGUCUGAUAAGUUGUUUUAAGAGCUGAUAAGUUGUACUAGGGCAGGCCAUCGGGCCAUGUAAAUCGAGUUUCAGUCGGCUCAAGCUCACAUACAAUCGGGCCUCGUUAGUAUAGGAUCAAGCUCACAUACCAUGGGGCCUCGUUACUAUAGGCUCAAGCUCACAUACCACCGUGCCUCAUUAGUAUAGGCUGAAGCUCAGCUCAAGUAUUUUUUCGAGCUUCGGAUUUAUAUCGGGUCUCAUUACUAUAUAACUGUAAUGAGUAAAAAAAAAAAGAAUUAUAAAUGCAAGUGAUAAAUAAGAUUUAUCUAUUAAAGUCUAUCCAAAAAACCCUAAACGAUCUUUGCAAGUUAUUUGAGAAACUUAUAUAAAGGAUUGAAAGAAGUAAAAAAAAUUAGUAACUCCUAUUAUUGGAAACAUUUUUUAUAUUCUUAAAUCUCGGUGAUAAAUUUCAGUAAUUAGGUAUCGGUGGGUGUGUUGCACUUGAUUCCUAUUGUCUCACCGCCACCACUUAAUUCCUUUUAUUUUUGACUUUUAUUUUUGCAAAAUAAAAUAUCUUAUACGGCCUUAACUUGUAUGUUGAGUCAUAUAAUAAAAAAAUAAAUAUAUUAGAUAUUUAAUUAUUAAUUUAAUCGGUCGUGCCUUAUUCGGUUGAGCCAUAGUAGACUCAAAUUCAACUCAUAAAUAAACUGGGUUUAGUUAUUAGAUGGCUUACACUUGGACCGACUCACUAAAAAGUAGGUUUGGCUCAAAUAUAAUCGGGCCGAGCCAUAGUGUUUCAGUUAGGCCCGACUCAACUGCCGGUCCUAAGUUGUAUGUUACAUCUUGUUUUAAUAAUUAUCUUUUCAAGUGUUUUGAUAAUGAGCUUAUAAGUUAUUUUUACUCAUUAUAAGAUCGUAAAUAAAAAGAUGAGGUAAAUAUAUUUUUUAAAAAGAUCUUAUUUGCUCUCCAAUAGCUUAUUUUUAAGAUUUUUUUAAAUUACCGAACACUUUGGAAGAACUUAUAAUCUCUUAAACAUCGUAGAAACACUUUUUAAUGGUUUAUAAGCUUAGCCAAACACCCUCAAUCUGUCUAUUUUUAGCAGUUCUUCAUAUUAGGCAAGUUCUCGUUUAUUCUAUAUUUGGCAUGGAUGGGGUGAUGUAGUCUAUUUAUGUCUAUUAGGAGUUGUAUGUUUGCCGCAUGGUGCCACACUUUUUGCAGUCGUUAUACCCGUUGCGCCCAUCUUUGGGGGAACUGUAAGUGGCCUCCGCUGUUGUGGUAAGGUGAACGGGUUCUUUGGAUUUUCCCAAGCUUUCUGUGAUCAUUCUCAUUCUUCUGUCUUAUCUUAAGUUUGGGCCGCAUGUUAUGCCCGUGUUAUUCUAUAUUUGAUAGAUUUUAUUUUUUGGCAGUUAAUAUUUUAAGCUAUUUUGAAGGUUGUAGCAUUUCGCCUAAAAAUAUUUAUGUACUCAAUAAUUUCUUAUCUAUAGACAAGUUUGGGGUCCAACCCAACCCCGGUUUAUGUAGCAUCUACAAAGUCCUUGUAGCUUGGAUGACUUGCAUGGGAAAUUUGCCUCACAAGGUAACUCCCAAGUUCCUUCUCAGCAUGCAAUCUCAUCCGUUGGAUCUUCUUCUUCUCUUGAUUAUAUAUUUUAUUUUAGAAGUUGAAUCAUAGAUGAACAAGUUGGCAUCCAGAAAGAUUCAAGAUGAUCUGGAAUUUCAACUCAAUUAGCUAACGGCAGGCCCGUUCCUGAGAAUUCGGGGGCCCGAGGCGAGGUUUAAAGAACAGCUGAAAACAAGGGCCCCUAUUUGAUAAAAUAUUUUUUAUAGGGUAUAUUACAACUACCCCUGAGUUAUGGUCAAUUUACGAAAAAACCCCUCUUGUUUGGAUAAUUAAAUCUACCCACUCAACUAUGAUUUUUUCUCACAUCUCCACCCUUAUGGGAGCAAAUUCAACAUAAUCAUCUAAAUUUCGUGGAAUGUGAUCUACUUUGUACUCGUUUUGUGUAAAAAUACAGUUUCUGAUGCACCACAAUCUGAUAUAUACAAGCCAAAAACACAUUUUAUGAUCAUCUUGCUUCAAAAUGUGGAGUUCAAAUGGGAUAAAACGGGUAAAAAAAAAGUGAUAAUAUUCCAUAUAAUUUCGAAAAUUCCACUAAAUUUGAAACCGCAAGGGUGGACGUAUAAGAAGAUUUAUAGUUGAAGUGAGUGGUUGUAAUUACCAAAACAAGAGGGGUUUAUAUUUUCUCAAAUUCGCCUACUUCGCCUCUCCUCAGAACCGGCCCUGGCUAACGGAUUUGGGUUUAUAUUUUCUCAAAUUCGAAUAACAUUGUUGUCAAAAUAAGGCUUAAGGUUGACCAACUCAACUGACUUCAACAACUUACACAUGCCCUUAUCUCUUGCCCAAAAUAUAUUUCAAAGGCGGCCGUUAUAUGCAAGCCCAUUUUUUUAUUAGUUCAAACCCCUAAACUAAUUUAUUUUUAUUACAUCAAGACCAAAGAGGACGAAUAUACCCUUAUCCACAAAUAAUACCUAAAUACAAAUAAACUCUAUUUUUUAUUUGUACAAGACCAAAAAAUAAAAAAACUCAAAAGAAAUAAAAGAAAGAAUAAGGAAAAAGAAUGCGACAGCCGCACGGCCACCGCAGAAGACCGCCGCACGACCACCGCACAAGAUUGCCGCACGACCACCACUAGACCGCCGGCGACGAUCAGCAAGCCACCACCACCGCACCACCACCACCAAACCAUCUCCACCGCACCAUCACCAUCACCCCACCACCACCACCAACAAGUCCUUUUUACUAAACUUUUGUUUGUCAAUUCAAAAAUAUUAAUCGAGCAUCGAUUCUUGAUAAAUAUGCGUGGAUGAACAUUAAUCUAUGCUUACUUCUUGUUGGGUUGCAAUGCGUUAGCCGAUUUUGGAAAAAAAAUUGAGAUUGAAAUUUAUUUUUUUGUGUGUUUUCGUUGUUUUCCCAAAUCGGUUUAUCCAGACCGAUUUUGUACACGAAAAUCGGCGUCACAAUACCGAUUUUUGUUAACAAAAUCGGCGACACAACGCCGACUUCACAAGUCAAAAUCGGCGUUGUAACGCCGAUUUUUUUUUUUUUUUUUUAUGAUUUUUGUUUUUUAUUUGGUUUUGAAUUUCAUUAAGGGUAAAUUAGUAUUUUUAUGAUGAAGGUCUUGAACUAAUAAAAAAUUGGGCUUGCAUAUAUCCACCGCCUAUUUCAAAAUAUAAUUUACAUAUAUUUCAUCCAUCAUAUCAUAGUUUUACAAAUAUUGCACAUUGAUCCUCGAUUUUAAUAAAUAUAUCACCUUAACCUCUAUUUUCACAACUUUUUGAAAAAAAAUAUUUCUUUUUUUCAGAAGAUAAAUUAUUAUUUUUCAGCCGACCGAAGUUGAUUUUUUUUUUACUUUUUUAAUUUCCUGCCACCGCCGAUCUCCGGCAUUGACCUUUUUUUGUGAAUUUUUUUUGCUCCACCGUCAGUCUCUGACAUUGAACUUUUUUUGUAAAUAUUUUUUUUCGAAUUAUUUUAUUUUUCCAGUUGUGACUGGUCAACAAAGUAAUAUUAAUGUAAACAUUGUACAGUAAUCGUAUUGUCUUAUAAUACAAUAAUAUUAAAUAUUUUUUACCUUUUGUUUUCAAUUUGGUUUUUAAAACAACCAACACAGUAAUAUUAAUGUCUGAAACAAUAAAAUUGCAUGUCAAGACAUUAAUAUUAAUCUUAACAAACUAACGUUAUUGUAUUAACAACAAUAUUACUGUCCGAGACAAUAAUAUUAAUAUUAGCAUAGUAAUAUUAUUGUGUUAACACUCAUAAAUCGGCGGUGACGGGAAAUUUUUUUCUUUUAUUUUUAUUAUAAAUAAGAAGAAAAAUGUCAACACAUGAGACCAGCGAUGACAGUCAAAAUCAGGGUCAAAUAUGGGUUAGGUGUCCAAAUGGGCUCACUAGUGAAAUUGAUGUUGAAUUAGGGUUUAAAUCAUGAGAUUGGGGUGAAUUAGAGUUUCAAAUGGUUAUGGGUAAUUUUGGUAUAUAUAUGAGAGUUUUUCUUCGUAGCAAAUAAAUGUUGCAUGAGUGGAUAUAUUUGCAAGACAAAAAGAUAAAAUAUCAUAUUUCUAAUUAAGUGUCAUUUCCAUGUAUUUUUUUCGCAAUUUGCGCAGUAUUUAAGAUCUAGUUCACUAAUCAAACUAGUAAUAUCUUUAAGGGGUUAAUAUAGUAAUUUCUAAGGUUGGGCAUGGGUUCGGGUUGGGAAAUUAUCGGCCAAUUACCUAUCCAACCCGAUCGCCAGACUUUGCUUAAAAUUGAAAACCAUUACCAGCCCAAAUAUUAUGGGUCGGGUGAUGGUUGGGAACCGACUUUAUCGAAUAAAUAAUGGGUGAUUGGUUGCUAUUAUCGGCCAUCUAUUUAUUGUAUUUUUUUUUUAACAAUAUAAGAUGUUUUUCAAUGUUUAUUCAAAAGAUAUUCAAAAUUGGGAAAACUUAUGUUGUAAAAAUCUUAACUUUAAUGUAAAAUUAAGAGUUUUUUUUAUUAAACUUUUACAAUAAAUAAAUAUAUAAUGAAGAAUAUAAAAUAGAAAUAGUAUGAGAAGAGGUUUAUAAAAUUUUGUUUUUGAGUUUUGAGUUUUUACUUCUUUUAUAUAUUAUUUUAACAUAAAAACAAAUAAGAAUUACAACUAAAUAUUUAUAAUAAAAAAUUAUUAAAAUAGUUCGUUGGCAGGAUAUAUUACCUUACCAAUCGACUUUUGAGUAACCUGAAAACCACUGACCGACCUAUUUAUUUAUGGGUUGGUUAAAAUUACCGGCCCGAUAAUAAAAAUAUCGGCGAAAAGAAGCGAGUCGAAAGUGGGUCGAUUGGCCGAUAAUAAAACCAACCCAUAUCCCACCCUAGUAAUUUCAAUCAUGAAUUAAUAGCACUACCCAAUUUUACCGGGCUAUUGACGCACGAAAAAUCUCUCCCUUUGUUUUGUGAAAGUCUCAACGAAGUAGAUAUCACUUAAAUGUGUGUCUUAAUUAUCUCUAAAUCACAAGCAAUGUUUUUAAAACCGGACCGGACAUUGACCCAGCUAGCCAACUGGGUCACGGUUGGACCGGUUCAACCGAGGUUCAACCGAGUUUUUGAAUAUUUUUAUUUUAAUAUUAUUUAUAUUUAAUUUAAUAUAAAAAUAUUGUAAAAAUAAAUUAAAAAAAGCCUACUAAUUAUUAAAAAUCAACCUAAAUAUUCAAUUCAACUAAUUAUCCAGCAAUAAAUAUUAAAUAUUGAAGACCAAAAAUACAAAUGUACAUAACACAUUCCAUAAUUGAAAUUAAAAAAGUGAAAGAAUGAGACAGUGAAAAAAAGUCUAAAAAAUUAAUCGAACCAAAAAAAAAAAAUGAGUAAUACAAAGAAAGAGAAAAUGUUCUGACUAACCCACUCCCCAAGCCCCCUCUCUAUCUCUCCUCUCUCUUUCUCUCUCUAUAUCUCUUCUUCUUCCGUCUUACAACCACAACCACCCAGUUCCACUGCAACUUAUUUCUUCUUAUUUUCUUCCUAUAGCUACAGUCCAAGAUUCAUCCCAGCCCGUAUAUCCGGCCCCCUCGGAAAUCACAGCCCCUCUUUUUGUCAUUCUUAUUCUUUUAUUUUCUCCCCUUUCCGAACAUCUCAAUCAAGAUUCCUCACCCACUGCCUAGAUUUUCUUUUUUUUUCUUGGUUUGUAAGAACCGGUCCUUCAACGGUUCACCCGGUCCGACCGUAAUUUUUUCCGGUUCUUAGACAGUGACCCGGUUUUUUGAUACUUACGGGUUUAUGUGUUCAACCGGACCGGACUACCGUCCGGUUCCCGGUUAAACCGGUCCGACCGGCCGGUCCGGUCCGGGUUUCAAAACAUUGAUCACAAGUAAUCUAUCUAUCUAUCUAUAUCUAUAUCUAUCUAUCUAUCUAUUCUAUACUUAUAAAAGUAUAAAUAGUUUGGAGGUUUCUUUCCUUUUUUUAUGGACAAAAUUACCCUACAAAAUAACCUUUAGAUAUGGGAUUUAUUGGACAACAAGGUCAUUUAACUAUCUACUUUGAUAUCAGUAACUAAUAGUAAUUCUUCCUUUAAUAAUUGAGUUCAAAUGAAUUUAUAUUCAAAAAACACACAAUUAAUUAAAUAUGACAUUUAAAAUCGGCAAAAGAAAUACACAAUGAUGUACUUUAGCUAGAUAAAAUCUAAAGUAUAAUUAGAUAAUAUUAUUUUAUAAUCAAUUUCCUCAAAAAAAUAAAGUUAUAAUUAGUCAGUAAUUUAUCGUAUAUUAAUCAGUAGCUUAUUGUAUUUUAAAAACAAUACGUAAUAGUGUAAUUUAAUUUUAGUACCAUUUUAUGUAGGUAAUGAAAAUCCCUAUGAAUAUAUUAUAGAAAAAAAAAGAUAACAUUUAAAGGGUAAUUACAUAAUAUCAUGUUAUAAUUAAUUUCCUCAAAAAAAUUAAAAUUACAAUUUAAUCAGUAGUUUAUUGUAUACUAAUUAAAGUAACUGAGAUUUUUGAUUUCACUUGACAAAAACACAUAAAAGCAAUAGACAAUAGAAUAGUGUUUACCAAUCAAGACAAAAGUAGAUGAGACGGAUUCAUGAAUUUACAAAAAAUAUGUAUUAAUGUAAAGUCUAAAUGACACUCAAUACAAGAAACUCAACGGUCUUUCUAAUUUGUUAUGGGUUUUAAUUUUACGGGUUAAAUAUAUUUUGCACCCCUGAAGUAUAGCUUAUGUACCUCUUACUGCUUAAAGUGUCAUUUGUAACACUUAUCUGCCUCAACAGCAAGUAUUUAUAUUUUAAAAUUCAAAUUAUAAUAAACAUAACAGUCUGAUAGUUAUUGGAUCAUAUAAACCUUAAGUAACUAAAAUUAAAUUNNNNNNNNNNNNNNNNNNNNNNNNNNNNNNNNNNNNNNNNNNNNNNNNNNNNNNNNNNNNNNNNNNNNNNNNNNNNNNNNNNNNNNNNNNNNNNNNNNNNUAUAUAUAUAUAUAUAUAUAUAUAUAUAUGUAUAUAUAUAUAUAUAUAUACAUAUAUAUAUAUAUAUAUAUAUAUAUAUAUAGAUAUAUAUAUACAUAUAUAUAUAUAUAUAUAUAUAUAUAUAUAUAUAUAUAUAUAUAUAUAUAUAUAUAUAUAUAUAUAUAUAUAUAUAUAUAUAUAUAUAUAUAUAUAUAUAAUAUUUUAAGAUAUUGGAAUUUAAAAUACAUAUUAAAUUGUGCUUGAGGGGGUAAAUGUUACAAAUGAAACUUUAAGAGCGUAAGUGUUACAAAGAUUAUAUAUUAGGGGUUUAAACUGUAUUUAAUCCUAAUUCUAAAGCCGGUACAAGUUACAACAUAUCAUCAAUUUAAUAUUAAUUUAUUCAUAAAAUAUUUACAUUGAUGAAUGUAACCACAAAUAUAUAGGCACUUUUAUUAUAUACACAACUAUAAUAUGUUAUUCUCAUCAGAUGCACCAGAUAUUAAACGAUAAAUCACAAUUCAGAUUCAAAUAGCAACACCAUCAGCAACUAUUGAAACUCCAAACUACAGAUGCAUGUGCAUGACGUAUUUAAGUAUCAAAUAUAAUCUCAUUUUUUUUUGUACUAUUUAACUCAUUCGAUAGAUUAUGAUAAAUUGGCUGAAUCUCUCUCUAUAUUUUCUUAGACCAUGGAUCUCUCUAUACGUUGCCCUUCUUUCCCUUAAGAACUCUACUUGAUAGAUCUCUUUUUUCUUCUUACAUUUAGAAAAUUUGUAGCAUGCCUCAUAUUUAAUUCACUCAUCUUUGCUACGCAACUCUUUAGGAUUCAAAGUUGCCUGAACUUCAAAAAACAUUUCUAAUAAUCCCCGACCCUCAUCGAAAACAUCAUUUACAUGUCCAUAAUCUAUAACCAAAAUAGUUUUGAAAAUCUAUUUUCCUAUUUUCAGUUAUGAAUAAAAAAAUAACAUGCUAUUGAUUGAAACUACAAAAAUAACAUCUUUUAAUGAUGACCAGGAGCACAUUAAGAGUUUUGGAGGAAAAAAAAUCAAAUUAACAAGAUUAAAAUAUAAUAAAAAAGAUCAUGAAUGAAAAUAUAAGUAUAACGUAUGAAUCUAAAUGUAUUGAAAUAUCAGAAAAUGUUAGAUUUUAUUGAAAAAUAAUAUUAAUAUACUUCAAAUAACUUAGAUAUUUUCAUUAUCUAUUUAAUUAAUUUUAUCGAAUAUAUAUCAAAAACAGCAAAAAAAAAAAAUUAAAUAAAAAGAAUCUCAUAAAUAUACUGUGACACAAGACGUGCAACACACGUCCACCUUCCUAAUUCUUAUAAACACACACAUAAGAUAGACUAAGGUGUAAUAAAUCAAAACAAUAGCUUCACGCUAUUUCCUUUAACAUGGUUAAGAUUAGAUGUAUUAAAUUGUUGUGCUACAACGAUAUUUUUGGAAAGGUCGAAUUACAUUUAAGGGGAAAUGAGUGAUAAGCCCCUAGUUUUGAAAAUAUAUAUGAGGAGGCCAAAUAAAAAUUUUCUCUUUAGUCAAAAACCCAAAUUCUGAUCUUAAUUAGGGAGACCCAAAUUUUCUCUAGAAAACUCGAAGUACCUAUUUUACCCUUUUAGUUUUAAUUCAAUACACAAAACCCUAGCCCACCCUUCUUUUUUCCACUCACAUGCGUUCUCCCUAACUCUCUCUUUCUCUCAAACUCACGUGACUUCCCCCUCUCUUCAUCUCUCUCUCUAACUUUCUCUCUCUAACUUUCUCCUCUCUCUUCAUCUCUCUCUCUCUCUCUCUAACUUUUUCUCUCUAAUUUGCCUCCCUCUCUAACUUUCUCUCUCUAACUCUCCCUCUCUAACUCUCCCUCUUACAAAUCCUCCGCCGUCAGAUCUCCUUCCCCCACCGCCUUGCGCCGAUUGUCACUAUUUUACACCGCUGCUCCGACACCGUAUUCCGCUGCUCCGACACCGCCGCACGCCGCUGUUCCGCAACCGCCUUACGCCGGCCAUCGUUGCUCCUCCCAUCGUUUUGAACUCUGUAUUAAAACAUCUAUUUCCGUUUGAAAUGAUUUCUACGUUAUUGUUUUAGUUUCGUUUCUUUUUUUUUUUGUUUAGGAGGGCUCAAACCAGAUCUACUAUUUCUUAUAAAAAAAAAUCAGAUCUACUAUGUUUUUGAAGAUCUGUGAACAAUUAAUAUCAAAAUAUUCUUUUUUUGGAUUAAUUUGAUUUUUUAUUUUGUUUGAUUCUUAUCUUUUUCAUUUUUAUUAUAAAUCAUAUGUAAUUUAUUUUUUGUAUUUAUUUGAAGAUGAUUCAAAAUGCCUCAACCGUGAGAUUUGUGAAAAAAUAAUAUUAGAAUCUUUUUUUUUUAAUUAAUUUAAUUUUUUAUUUUGUUUGAUUCUUAUCUUUUUCAUUUUUAUUAUAAAUCAUAUGCAAUUUAUUUUUUGUAUUUAUUUGAAGAUGAUUUGAAAUGCCUCAAGUGUAAGAGCUUUGUUUGUCUUUAGUAAAAAUUUAACCAGUAGUGGUUAUUUACAUGGGUGGUUUGAGUCAGGUGAAUAUACAGUUAUAUUUAGUCAUAUGCAGUCAUAUAUAGUCAGUCAUAUGUAGUCAUGUAUAGUCAUGACUACAUAUAACUAUACAUGACUAUAAUACUUGUAGUACACCAUAGUCAUUUGUAUCGAUUUUAGUACAAUAAAUUUAUCACAAAAAAAAAAUCAUGUUUUUUUGUAUUUUUCAUGUAAUGUAAUUUGAAUUUUGCAAGUAUUUUUUGAGUUCACCAGAGUAUUUUUUUUACAACCAUCAUCGAAUUUUGCAGUUAUUUUUUUAGUUUUGGUUUUAAUAUGUUUUCUUAUUUUUUCGUGGGAAGCUGUGAGUUUAAUUUUAGGAGUCGAUUUGUACAUAAAACGCGAUUGUUGUGGCAAGAAAUAUAAAAAGAAAAAAACUCGAAACUUGUUCCUGGUGGUGGUGCGACAAAACUGACUGUUCAUCCAUUGAAGGCAUAGAAAAGGUAAUGAAUUUUAAUGUGCUUCUUAAUAUAGUGAAUCACUGUUUAUUGGUCCUCAGAUGAUUUGUUUACUUUUUUUUUGUACUUGGGAGUAUAUAGAUUCGUGAUGAGAAUAUUUUGUUGGUAAUAUGAUAUUGAUAUUUUAUUUAUCGAGAAUGAAAUAGGUGACUACUUUACGUGUCAACUAUUAUUUUAUCUAUGGUGUUCCACUUCAACUUGCUUUGAUCUUUGACCUUUGGUUAUAUGAAGAAUAAUGACUAACAUACUCUGUUUGUAAUUUGAUUUUGAUAAUAUAAGCUGUCUCGUAUCACUUGGAGAACAAAGUCAGGUACUUGAAGGGACAAAUAAAGUCACAUACAUGUAUAUAGUCACAUGUGGUCAUAUAGCUGUAGUCAUAUAUAGUCAUGUGUAGUAACAUACAGUAAUAUAUGGUGUAGUCACAUAUAGUAAUAUAUAGUUACGUGUAGUAACAUACAGUAAUAUAUGGUGUAGUCACAUGUAGUGAUAUAUAGUUAUAUAUAAACUAUGUAGUCAUGUAGUCAUAUGUAGUCAUGUAUGAGUUAUGUGGGGAGUAUCUAUGUAUACCAGUAGGUGAUAGUGCGUGUCUGCACAUUUAAAUUUGAAGCAAAAUUCGUUGUUUGUUUAACUUUUUUUCUUUUUCACAGGUCUUGGUGUUUGAACUACUAUGUAGUAUGUUUUUGCGGAGUGGAUUGUGUUCGUUGUUCAAAACAAGCGGUUCUCGUGUUGAUAAGUGCGAUUUGAGUGAAAUUUAGUCGUAUAGAUAACUGUAGUCAUAUAUAGUUUCAUUCAUGUAGUUAUAUAUAUUUAUAUACAAGCUAUGUGGUUUUUCUGAUGUAUAGUGAUCUUGAUGAUUGUGUUUUUUUUCACUUUUUUGUUAGGCAUUAAAUUAUUUAUAAUAUGAAGAAUCCAAAUUUGAAUUUUUUUAUUGGUAUAGAUGAUUUUUUAUAUAUAUAAUCAACGGUUUUUAUAAUCGAUUGACCAUAACUUUUGGAUAAAAAAAUAGUACAUGGCUAUAUAUAACUAUACAUGACUGUGGUAUACUAUAGUCAUGUGUAGUCAAUUUUAGUACAGUAAAUUCAAAAUUAAAAAAAAAAAAUUAAAAAUUAAAAAUUAAAAAAAAUUAAAAAAAUUAAAAAAGGAAAAUUAAAAAAAAAAUAAAAAUUAAAAAUAAUUAAAAAAUUAAAAAUUAAAAAUUAAAAAACAGGGUGCGUAUAAAAAAAUAAUAAUAAAAUAAAAAUUUAUAAUUUUUUAUUAAAAAAUCUGAAAAAAUGAUAAAUGCAGGUCUAAAAAUGUGGAGUGCAGUUAGCUAUAAUGCUGAAUGCAGUUGGAAAAGCUGAAUGCAGUUGGUUAAAAUUUAUAAAUAAGGGCACAAACUUUUGUCUCUCCAGGGGUGUAUCUCAAAGAAAAAAAUUUAAGAGUGAACUUAUCCCUAUAUAUUUUCUAUUCUAGGGGUGUAUAUCAAAUAGCCCCUUACAUGUAAAUUGUGAACAAUUAUUUAUUAGUAUCAACAACUUGCCCAAUCAAAUAAUAUAACAAAUCAUAAUUUAUAAACUAUUAUACAAAGUCUAUAACAGAUAACCCCUUGAUAUAAACUAUCAACAAGUUUACUUUCAUAUACUAGAACAAUUCAACUACCCACAAAAAUAAAACAAUUGAAACAAUUUGGUGAAAUACAAUGUUUUAUUACAAAUAAUUAAAUUGAACAAUUCAAAAGAAGUGCCAGCUGUUGUCAAAUAUUUGUGCUGGCAGGAUAGGAUAUUCUUGAUCUCCUACAACUAAGUAAUGUGUCCCUGAUUGAAUCACCAUUGUCCCAUCUUCACUAGCACUACUAAAAUGCUCGCAUGGAUUUAUUUCAAAUUCAACAUUAGCCUUUUCAUUUGCAUUUAAUCUCACUGUCUGAAAUCCGACCAACUGUUUCACUGGACUACCCUUAACGGCUUCGUCGCGCCUUACAAAUAACAGAACCGAGUUCUUACCGGCCAUCUCCCCUUCAUUUUCUACGCUAACAAUAACCGAAAACUUUGCGUUCUCGCAUUUUUCGAAGCCAAUAUCCGAAACUGGAAUUUCGUACGGUCUUUUAAGCCUCUUUGCGGUCGAUAAUCUCUUGACAUCGAGAUUGUUUUUGCCAACGUUAAUAAAUUUGUAUGAAUAAUUUGAGUAGCUAAGACCAUAGCCGAACUCAUAAACUUUUUCGCCUUGAUAAAAUCUGUACGUUCGUCCCGGGUAGCCGGAUAAAGGAUCGGACCUCAUUCUCAUAUCAGUCAUUGGUAUUUUGAUGAAAUCUUUCGGAUACCAAGUCAUAGGCAGCCUUCCCCCUAACGAAACAAAACAACAUAAAUCUUUUUGCUAGUAAUAUAUAUAUAUAUAUAUAUAUAUAUAUAUAUAUAUAUAUAUAUAUAUAUAUAUAUAUAUAUACAUUUGAAUCAUAAGAAUUGUUUUGUGAAGAAAUAUACCUGGAUUGUGGUCACCAAAUAUAAUCUCGGCAAUAGCUCUUCCUCCAGCUUCACCGGGAUAUCCGGUCCACAAAAUACUCCCGAUUUUAGGAUUAUGUUUCGCGAACGAAAUAUCAACAGGGCCUCCACAGAGCAAUACCAAUAUAACCGGAUUUUUAGCUGCCUUUGCAACACUCAUGAUAAGACUUUGUUGCUGACCUGGAAGUACCAAGUCUUCUCGAUCCAAAUCCUCGCGCUCAAAAUCUUGAUUGAUUCCCAUUACAAGUACAACAUAAUCUGCUGAUUUGGCAAGUCUCGUCGCUUCUCUGGAGGCAAUUGAGGUGCAGUUGAUGGUUUCGCAACCCUGAUGGAAUUCGGUUUUCCUGACAUAAUUCAUUAGUCCUUGUAGUGGAGUAACCGUGUUGCACGGUGGGCCCGCGUAGCUUCCUAAGAGUGUUUGCGAGACAUUGGCAUUGGGGCCUAUUACUGCAAGAGAUUUUGUUUCGGAUUUGGAUAAUGGAAGUAGAUUUGCAGAGUUCUUUAAAAGGACAAUCCCAUCGCGUGCAACUUCGAGCGCCAAAUCUUGAUGCUCGUGAGUACAUAUGUCGUUAUGGCUAAGGUUUCCGUACGGAAGUUGACUUGGAUUGCCGUUGAAAAGUCCUAAUCUCAUUCUGACAGAGAAUAGGUUGUGAAGGGCUCUGUCUAUAUCAAAUUCACUCACUUUCCCCAUUUGGAUUGCUGAUUUUGUGUGAUUCGCCAGAUAGUUGCCGCAUUCGACAUCCAUGCCUAUUUUUUUUUUUUUAGUUUGAUAAGAAAAAUGUCUUUAGAAUUUAUUUUGUUUAAAUUAAGUCGAUCAAUGGUUUAUACGCUAAGUUACCUGCUUUGAGAACAUCGGCCACAGCGUCUUCGUGUGAUUUGGAGUACUUUUGCAUCUCGUAUAGAUGUGGGACCGCAUGAUCGUCCGAUGCUAUAUACCUGGUUGUUUUCGGUUAAAUAAUUAGAGACACGAUGAACAUCUACAAGAAUACUAAUUGUUUUUUUCAAGUUAAUUGAAGUUAGUAAGUUACCCUUGAAAUCCCCAUUCCCCACGAACGGUUUUCGUUAGUAGAUUAUAAUCAGCACAAUUUGGAACACCGUUGACGGAAUUAUAAGCACACAUAACCCCACUCGCUCGACCAUCCUUCACACAACUUUUAAAAGAUGGUUGAAAUGUAUCCGACAUAUCCUGCUUCGUCACCUAUUCAAAACAAUCAACACAUUUUUUUCUUUAGAAAAAAAAAUUCAUUUAUUCUAAACAUUUGUCGUAAUGUAAUGUAAUGUUGGAGAGAAAUUCAUACAAGAGCGUCGAACGUGAAACGACUAUUUCCGUUCCAACUCUCCAAAUCAUAGGCGGUGAGAUGCUUGCAGCAUGCGGAGGCUUGAAGAUGGCCAUCUCUAAGGUCACCCCCUUCGAAACUGUCGCCUUGGAUUCCUCGAACGAACGAGACGGCGUAUUUACUUGUCAUAAAAGGGUCUUCGCCAGGUGUCUCUUGUCCCCUUCCCCACCUCGGAUCUCGGAAAAUGUUGACGUUCGGCGACCAAAAUGUCAUGCCUACUGCAUGCCCUUCAUUGUAUAUAGCUCU